GUAAGUGCAAUUCGGGUUUGUUAAAUUUUAAUUACAUUUUUUAUUUUAGUGUUAUUGCAGAUUAUUACAUUUUUUUUUGAAGGAAUUGUAGAUUAUUCCAGGAAGUUUUAAUUAUGAUAAAAUACAUAUUAAGGUUAUUUUUUAUUUAUAGCAUUUUUUAUUUAUUGCAGGAAAUUCUUUUUAAAAGGAAGAACACAGACAGGUAAAAUAAUUUCUUUUCAUCUUUACAAAACCAUGAAAAUGAUCAUUAAACUCAUUAUUUCUUUAAUUUUUUAUCUUCAUUUUAUUGUUGAGCUUCAUAUGACAUAUUUAACAAACUAUAGAAUCUUCAACAUCACAUAUGAGGCAAAACAAGAAAAUGUAUAAAGAUGAGAAGUAAAAGAAAGAAUACAUAUCCAAAAACAGUCCUAACACAAUUUUACAAUUAUAUCAACAACAAAAAAGCAAAUAUACAAAAUAUAUUCAUUAGAAAAUGCUGAUGAUUGUGCCUUCUUAGUUUGUUUGUUGUUUGUCUUGCAAACUUGUCAGCUGAUCUAAUGUUUAUCCUUUCAUUGACAGGAAGAUUCCAGAUCACAUACGAGCAAUAAGGAAAAAAAAAAAAAAAAGAGCCCAUAAAUAAGAGAUAGAGGGAUGAGCAGCUGAUUCUCAGAGUGAAAGAAUUGAGAAUAUGGUUUAGUAUCAGUUUGGUUUUAUUUUUUUAUUUCGGCUUUGUAAAUAAAUAAAAAACUAUGUUUUUAGUUAAACCACAACAAGUAAAGUAAUAGCAUAAAGUGAAUUCUUUAGAAAGAAAUUAAUAUUAUUUGAGUCAUAUUACAAGAAAAUGUAAGUGAAAUUUUUGUUAAAUCAUAACAAGUAAUAACAGAAAGUGAAAAAAAAAAUUCUUUUGAUUUACAAAUAAAAAUUUUAUUCUUCUGUAAAAAAAAAAUCUUAAAUUCUGAAGAAAAAAAAAAAAAGCUGUUCUAUAGAUUUUUGUUAUCAAUCUGUAGUAUAAAAAAAAAACAGACUUUUUUAUCAGUAGCAUCAGAACUAAAAAAGAUUCAUCUACAAAAGAAAUUUUUACAUCUCUAGAAAUAAAACAAAAUCACAUCCAAUUUCAUAUUUGUAUUGUUGUUGUUGCAUGUAAUGGAAACAAAAUAUGUAAAGAACUUGACCUUGAUGAAGACAACAGCCCAGGUUUAAGUGUUUGUGUAAAAAUUCUGACCCAGAUCGGGAUGAAAACACGUAAGCUCUUUCCCGGCGCGGUGGUUGCAAGCUCCGGCGUGGUGGUCACCGGCGAAGGUUGUCCGUUCCUGAUAUUUUUAAAUGGGUUUUGUAGAGAAGAUGGAGGGGACUCUUUUUAUGGUGAUGGAUUUUCAAAAAUGAAGAUGGUGGAGCAAUGUAACGACCGCCGGAGACACACUGAAGGAGGGAGGAGGCGGCGGCGGGGGUUUGUUUGAGAAUGAGAGAGUUUUCCAGAUUUCUUUGGUGAAGAGAGAGAAAAUUAACUUUGAAAUAAAUAUGGUGUGUGUGGAAUAAAGUUAAAUGACAAAAAAUAAAAUAAAAAGAAAAUUAUAAAAAUAUACUCUAGGUUUGUACGAGAUAGAAAGGGGUAAAGGGGUAUAGACUUUUUUUAUUGCAAAAUUAGUGUAACAUAAUAAAAAUAAAAAUAAAUAAUUUCUUUAAAAAAAUAAUUAUUAUUAUUAUUAUUAUUUUUUUUUUAUCAAAGAAAAGCCCUUGAACCCAUUUGAUUGCAGAACAUUAGUUUUUUGUUUUUUUUUUUACAAAGAACUGGUGUUUCUAAACCUAUAGAGCCAGUAAGCCGGUUAACAGAUUUAAUUUUUUGUAAAAAGUCAGUCACGUGGCCCAAUGGUUGGGAGAGUAGUCAAAAGCGACUGUUUGGGCGAUGGUAGAUAGCAUUCCUCUUUUAGAAUUGCUGUUGACACAUUUGGUUUGGCUGAGACACACGAGUAAUUUACCUAAAUGCCCCUCGACAGUUAACUGUCGAAGUUUUAGAAAACCGGAUGCAGUUAACUACCGAGGAUUUCCUCGGUAGUUAACUAUCGAGGAUUUCCUCGGUAGUUAACUAUCGAGGAUUUCCUCGGCAGUAAACUGCCGAAGCGUCCUGAAGCAAGAUAGAGGCAGUAGCUUCAUUUCCUGAACCUGUAAUGUGUUUCAAACACAAAACACAACAUAUGUACCUGUUUUUUUUUUUAUGCAUAAUGGUUCAAAUGGCAAAACAAAUAUUUGCGCAAAUGCACAACUUAAUUAAACCAACAUUUUUAUACCAUUAAACAAAGUAAAAUAUCCCAUGAAAUUAAAAGUAAUGUCAUCAAAAUACAAAUAUACAAAUCAAUGUCAUCAAAAUACCAAAACUAAAAAACAAGUCCUAAAAAACAAACUACUACUACUACUACUGGUCCUGGUCCUGGUCCUACUGAUGCUGCUGGUGCCUCCUCCUCGGCCUCUGGCCUCGCCUCCUGUUCAAGAUCAGCGCAAUCUGCUCUCUAAGAUGGCUCAUGGCCUGAAACCACUGCUGAGGGGUCAUGCUCAUGACCUCCUCCUGGCCUAACUGUGCAUCAGCGUAGGCAACAGCGCCACUAACCAUAUCAAAAGUGCUAAGAAGAGUCGACGCCAUUGCUCACCAGAAAUACUUUCUGAUCAUCUUCAUGAUGCACUGAAAGAUCUCGAUACUCCCAUAAAAUCUCAGCCACGACUCUUCUUAGGAUCUAAUGACAACCAAUCAAAUAACAUUGUUGCGGCCACCAUAGCUGCUUCUCAAGCAGGAACAACAAGACAGACGUCAAAAAAGGAAGUGGUGAGACGCCAAGUGAGUAAAAUGGCUAUCACUAGUCUUGAGUUUUCUGAAGCAUUGCCUUUUGCUGCUUUUGCUUCUUUGUGUAACGCCCACUUUCGUUUAAUUAUUUAUUUAAUCGAGUUUAGGCAAUUAUAUUAUAUUUAUAUAAUAUAUGCGUGAGUUUUGUUGAGUUUUGAUGAUUUAAGAUGAUUUAGAUGAUUUGGAUGUUUUGAUGUGUUUUGAUGAUUUGAUAAGAUUAUGAGACUUAUUUUAUUGUUAAAUAAAAUAAGAUUUGAAAAGAAAAUAAAAAUAUGAAAAAUAUUUAGUUAAGGGCUGUUUUGAUAUUUUAGAUAGUUUUGGGGGAGAAAGUGAGAUAAGAUAAGUAAUUAAGAGGAGAUAUAAAAGAGAUAGACCUAGUUUUAGAAAAAUUAGUACGUACGACUGUUUUUGGAGAAAAGGGAGAAAACCAAGAGAAGAGCAAGAGAGACCUUGGAGGGCUGCGAUUUCUACACAAUAAGGUAAGGGUGAGACUAAUAAUUCAGUAAUGUUAAUUGUUAUAAUUCUGAUGAUUAAUUGACAAAGUUAGGAUUGAUUUAGAAAAGUUUUGGAAUUAGGUCAAAACCCUAAAAAUUGAUGAUCAAACGGUAAAACUUGAUUAGAUUGAUGUAGAAACCGUCCUAUAACCUUAGAAUAUGUUUAGGAUGAAUUCUGGAAUCGAAAUUAGACUUAGAACCAUGUUAGAUGAUGGAUUUUUGAGAAAAACCGUUUUCUGCCCGAGCCUAUGUUCAUCGCUCGCCCUGGCGAGGGAUGAUCCUCGCCUCGCGAGUUACAUGUCGUAGCUCGCCACAGCGAGCAACCUUACUCGCCAUAGCGAGCAUGACCAGAGAGCAGAAUUCUGAGUUUUUAACUUUUGAGUUGAACCUUAGAUGCCUUUGAGUACCUUUAGGUGACUACUAAUGAUUAGAGAAUGAUUUAGAAUGAGAUUGAACCUGGAACAACCUUAGUUGGGGAUUUGGCUUGUACUCGCCAUGGCGAGCAGAUGCUCUCUAUAACGUCCACUUUCGUUAAUUGUUUAUUUAAUCGAGUUUAGGCGAUUAUAUUAUAUUUAUAUAAUAUAUGCAUGAAUAUGGUAUGAUUUGAAUGAUUUACGACUAUAUUGAUGGUUUGGUUGAUAUUGUGAUAAAGUUUUGGAAGAUUUGAUAAGAUUAAGGGAUUUAUUUUAUUGUUAAAUAAAAUAAAGAUUUGAAAAUAAUAUAAAAUAUUUAGUUGAGGGCUGUUUUGAUAUUUUAGAUAGUUUUGGGGGAGAAAGUGAGAUAAGAUAAGUUAUUAGGAAGAGAUAUAAAUAGGAGAAGACCUAAUUGUUAGAAAAACUAUUGUACGUGAAAACUUUUGAAAAAAGGAGAAAAAGCUUAGAAGAGAGAAGAUCAAAGAGAGAGCUGCGAUUUCUUCAUAACCAGGUAAGGGUGAGACUAAUAAAUCAGUAUUGUUAAUUGAAUGUAAUUCUGAUGAUUAGUUAGCAAGAAUUAGGAUUGAAUUAGAGAAAACGAAAACUAGGUCAAAUCCCUAGAAUUGAUGAUUAAACGGUAGGAAUUGAUUAAAUUGGUGUAGAAAGUGUUCCUGGACCUUAGAUAAUGUUUAGGACAAACUUUGGAAUCAAUACUAGGCUUAGAACCNNNNNNNNNNNNNNNNNNNNNNNNNNNNNNNNNNNNNNNNNNNNNNNNNNNNNNNNNNNNNNNNNNNNNNNNNNNNNNNNNNNNNNNNNNNNNNNNNNNNNNNNNNNNNNNNNNNNNNNNNNNNNNNNNNNNNNNNNNNNNNNNNNNNNNNNNNNNNNNNNNNNNNNNNNNNNNNNNNNNNNNNNNNNNNNNNNNNNNNNNNNNNNNNNNNNNNNNNNNNNNNNNNNNNNNNNNNNNNNNNNNNNNNNNNNNNNNNNNNNNNNNNNNNNNNNNNNNNNNNNNNNNNNNNNNNNNNNNNNNNNNNNNNNNNNNNNNNNNNNNNNNNNNNNNNNNNNNNNNNNNNNNNNNNNNNNNNNNNNNNNNNNNNNNNNNNNNNNNNNNNNNNNNNNNNNNNNNNNNNNNNNNNNNNNNNNNNNNNNNNNNNNNNNNNNNNNNNNNNNNNNNNNNNNNNNNNNNNNNNNNNNNNNNNNNNNNNNNNNNNNNNNNNNNNNNNNNNNNNNNNNNNNNNNNNNNNNNNNNNNNNNNNNNNNNNNNNNNNNNNNNNNNNNNNNNNNNNNNNNNNNNNNNNNNNNNNNNNNNNNNNNNNNNNNNNNNNNNNNNNNNNNNNNNNNNNNNNNNNNNNNNNNNNNNNNNNNNNNNNNNNNNNNNNNNNNNNNNNNNNNNNNNNNNNNNNNNNNNNNNNNNNNNNNNNNNNNNNNNNNNNNNNNNNNNNNNNNNNNNNNNNNNNNNNNNNNNNNNNNNNNNNNNNNNNNNNNNNNNNNNNNNNNNNNNNNNNNNNNNNNNNNNNNNNNNNNNNNNNNNNNNNNNNNNNNNNNNNNNNNNNNNNNNNNNNNNNNNNNNNNNNNNNNNNNNNNNNNNNNNNNNNNNNNNNNNNNNNNNNNNNNNNNNNNNNNNNNNNNNNNNNNNNNNNNNNNNNNNNNNNNNNNNNNNNNNNNNNNNNNNGUUGCCCUUCGUAUGGGUAACUUGCAGGUGAUCGUGCUUAGUGUGCAGUUUCCGUCGUGAGUGGCCUUGCCUUCACUGUGUCGUCUAGGUCGCUCUGAUACGUAACGGGAUGGGGCUAUAUGUUAUGCAUGCUUCGUUCUAUUACGUGAAUAAUAUGCUAUUUGUUUAUUGAACUAACUCUUUUGAGAUUAUUUUGAUGGGGCCUGCGUGCCAAAACGUUUUAUGAUUAUAAUAUAAUUUCCGCUGCAAUGUUUAAGAUAUUUGGUUAAAUUAUUAUUUAACUGUUUUGGAUUAUGUUAUAUGUGAUAUCCCGUUGUUUAUGAUGCUUACUCUGAUAAAUGAUUUAAGAAAUUUGUAUAUUGGGAAAACAGGGUGUUACACUCUUGCCUCGCGAGCACUUCCAGAAUUGAGUGUUUUAGAGAAUUGUGAGACCUGAGAUGUUUGGAUUGGUUAGGAAAGGAACUUUAGGUACUAAUGUGACCUAUCAAAGAUAAUGAUUAUGAACUGUGAAGAUUUUAUGAAUUGUUAAGAGAUUAUGAAAUGAUUUAUGGAUUAUGAACUAAUUUCCGCUGCAACAUUUGAGUUAAUUUGUUAUUUAACUAAUUUUGGAUUAUGUUUAAAUGUGAUAUCCCGUUUAUGCUGUUUACUCUGAUAAAUGUUUAGAAAUUUUUAUAUUGGGAAAACGGGGUGUUACACUUUGCUUUUGGAAACGGUGAUGAAACUCGACUUAAUAAUUGAUGAAGUUGAAGAACUUGGGAGGUUAGCGUGCUUCAAAGAGUAUAUACCUGGUGAUGAAUUUUCUGUUAGUUCUGAGAAACCUUGUUUGUGAGUUUUGACAAAACAAGGGAAAGGUUUUGGGGGGUUUUGAAGGGUUCAUUUGUCCAAUUUUAAAGUUCCCCCAAAUUGGGGGGUUUUGGGGGUUAACCAUACACAAAUUGACAAUUUUGCCCUCAUAAUAAUUCAAAAUUCCAAUUUUAGACAUUACUGAAUUAUUACAAUCUUUUUCAAAAACAACUUAUUCAAAACAACUUAUUACGACAUCAUUUUCAAAAACCACUUAUUCAAAACAACUUAUUUAUAAAAAACAUCUUAUUACGACCUCUUUUUCAAAAACAACUUAUUCAAAACAGCUUAUUUAUCCAAAACUGUUUAUUACGACCUCAUUUUCAAAAACCACUUAUUCAAAACAACUUAUUUAUACAAAAUAACUUAUUACGGCCUCUUUUUUAAAAAACAACUUAUUCAAAACAACUUAUUUAUGCAAAACAGCUUAUUACGACCUCUUUUCGAAAAAAAAAACAACUUGUUCAAAACAGCUUGUUGAUGCAAAACAGCUUAUUACAACCUCUUUUCGAAAAACAACUUAUUUAAAACAAAUUAUUCAUGCAAAACAGCUUAUUACGACCUCAUUUUCAAAUAAACAGCUUAUUCAAAACAGCUUAUUUAUGCAAAACAGCUUCUUACGACCUCUUUUCAAAAAGCAACUUAUUCAAAAUAACUUAUUGAUGCAAAACAGCUUAUUACAACCUCUUUUCAAAAAAAACUUAUUCAAAACAUAUCGUAAUAAGUUGUUUUGCAUAAAUAAGGUGUUUUGAAUAAGAUGUUUUCGAUAAAUUAGCUGUUUUGAAUAAGUUGUUUUUGAAAAAGAAAUCGUAUUAAGCUGUUUUUCCAUAAAUAAGCUGUUUUGAAAAAGUUGUUUUUGAAAAAGAGAUUGUAAUAAGUUGUUUUGUAUAAAUAAACUGUUUUUGAGAAAGAUGUAGUAAUAAGCUGUUUUGCGUGAAUAAGCUGUUUUUUGAAAAGAGGUCGUAAUUAGAUGUUUUGUAUAAAUAAGUUGUUUUGAAUAAGCUGUUUUUGAAAAAGAUGUUGUAAUAAGCUGCUUUGCAUAAAUAAGUUGUUUUGAAUAAGCUGUUUUUUGAAAAGAGGUCCUAAUUAGCUGUUUUGUAUAAAUAAGUUGUUUUUGAAAAAGAUGUCGUAAUAAGCAGUUUUGCAUAAAUAAGUUGUUUUGAAUAAGCUGUUUUUGAAAAUGAUGUCGUAAUAAGUUGUUUUGCAUAAAUAAGCUCUUUUGAAUAAGUUGUUUUUUUUUAAAAGAGGUUGUAAUAAGUUGUUUUUGAAAAUGAGGUCGUAAUAAGCUAUUUGGCAUAAAUAAGCUGUUUUGAAUAAGUUGUUUUUGAAAAAGAUGUCUUAAUAAGCUGUUUUUGAAAAAAGAUGUUGUAAUAAGCUGUUUUGUAUAAAUAAGUUGUUUUGAAUAAGCGGUUUUUGAAAAAGAUGUCUUAAUAAACUGUUUUGCAUAAAUAAGCUGUUUUUGAAAAAAGAUAUCGUAAUAAGUUGUUUUGCAUAAAUAAACUGUUUUGAAUAAGUUGUUUUUUUUUAUAAAAAAAAAUCGUAAUAAUUUCUUUUUCAUGAGAUAAGCUGUUUUUUAAAAAGAGACCGUAAUAAGUUUUUGUAUAAAUAAGUUGGUUUUUAUAAAGUGAUUGUAAUAAGUUUUUUUUAUUCUAUAAAUAAUUUGUUUUUCAUGAGAUAAGCUCUUUUGAAUAAAUUAGAAGAUAAAUUACAAAGUAUAACACAAUGUAUUAAUUUAAGAGAAAAAAGGGUAAAAUAGUAAAAUUAUAACAUAAGUCCUUCAUCUUCUUUCCUUGUUGGUGUUUUAACUCCCAAACAAUGGAAAGAUUUUCCCUCCUUUCUCCCUUCCCUCCCUUUCCUUCCCUUCCCCUCCUUAACCUUUCCUUUCCUUCCCCUCAAAUCUCGCAAACAAAGCCUUAGGGAAAUGUUAAGUGCCCCAGACACUUUUAAGAACCAUAAGUAGUAUUCCCUCUGUUUCUAAAUAUAAGUAAAAUUAAUUUUUUAGGUUCAUUCAAUUAAGACCACAUACAUCAUUAAUUGAAUGAACCUAAAAUGUCAAUUUUACUUUUAAUUAGAAAUGUGAGUAUUUAUGAAAAUGCAUCUAAAGAAUUCAUUCAAAAUUGAAAUAUUAGAUUUUUUUUUUAAAGAAUAAUUACUUAUUUAGGAAUGCUUAAAGAGUAUCCGGAGGUAAUCCUUAACAAGAACAAUUAACUCAUUUUCUCAACUACUCCCUCUGGUCACAUUUAUAAGCAAAAAACAACUUUUUAGGUACAUUGAAUAACUAAUGCAUUCGGUCAUAUUUAUGGGUUAGAUACAUCAAUUAUUGGAUGUACCUAAAAAGUUGUUUUUUGCUUAUAAAUGUGAUCGAAGGGAGUAUUAAAUAAGAAAUAUCUAUAUCAUUGUCUCCUUUGCAUUCCCCUCUCUCAGUGGGCAACGUCUCAACUCUAGUCUUGACUUAGUCAGUUCUAUUUUUCUUCUAUAUGCACUAGGUUGUGUCUCACUUUUUUGUUUCAAAGAAAUCUUAAUUCACUGUGCAAAAUGAAUGCCCAAAGAUUUUCCAAGCCCUCCAAACUCUGAACUAGAAUGAUUACUACUGUACUCUGUCAACGUGAUUACACUGCCAAUUCAAGUGAUAAACAAUAGGCAUAUUUCAUAGAUACCUAAGUGGACAAUGGCCAUAAUCCAUUCACAAAAUUACCUAUACGAACCAUUAGUGAGUAAGAAUAACAAUUGAAAAGACGCAGAAUAGUUUAUACAAGCUAUUAAAUUUUAAUCUUUUAAAAAAAAUAUUUUUUACGGCUAAUUUUUUUAAUUCGAAACCAUCAUGUUUUUUGAACAAGGGCGAAAAUGAAAUAAAAAAGUGAUAACACAUUUCAUUCUGUCCACUCUUUAUAUAGUUAAAUAACAAAUAGAAUGAAACUUUUAUUGGUUCCAUUCCGCUCAUUAUGUUCCAUUUGUGCUCUGAUCCAUUUGUUAUUGGGUAGUCUAGGGAACUUCGGGAGCAAUAAUGGGCCAAACGUUCAGAACUAUAAGAGACUUAAACAUCACACUCUUAUCCAAAAUCUUAAGGCAAUGAGUUUAUGGAUUCCUCUCAUAUACUACAUCCGUCCCUUAUUAUAUGAUCCUUUUAGAAAAAACACGGUUUUAAGAAAGUAGAUUAUUGUGUUAAAUUUGUUGACAAAUGAUAUUCCUUUUCAUGUUUGCCCUUCUAAUAAUUGAAAUCGCAAUUCAUUAUUUUCCUAUAAUAAUUGAAUAAUGCACCUAAUUGAUUUAUCAUUGUAGCUAUAAUUGAAAGGAAGCUUGAAUGUAGACUUGGAAAAGUCAUGGCACAAAAAAAAUGAAACGUGAACAACCAUUCCAUUUUUUUUUUCCACAAAAAUUUGGAAUCACUCUUUUUUUUUUUUUUUUUUUUGUAAAAUAUCAAUUUUGAAGCUCCAAACUUAAAAUUUUUAGGAAUUAUUUUCAAAUUUCUGACGCCAUGUUUUUAAGAACAAGGAGCAUGAAACAAGAGUAUAUAAACACAUAGAGAAUGGUGCAUUAUUAUAAGAAAAUUGUUUUUUUGACAUAGAAAACGUUCUAAUGACACAAGAAAAUUACCCAAAAGUCCUCAGCGGUAAUUAACUACCGUUCUGCAAAGCGGCGACAUUUGUUUGUUUCUGCCGCUGGAAAAUUGUCUUUCUUUACACAUACCCAUUUGUUUGUUUCUGGCACCAAUUAACACUUUUUAAUUAAUUUAUUAUAAAGGCAGAGGUUUGUUGGGGGAGGGAUGAGAGAGAAUAGAGAACAUUAAUAAUAAUAAAUUAAUUAAAAAGUGUUAGUUGGUGGCAGAAACAAAUAAGUGCGCAUGUGUAAAGAAAGACAAUUUUUCAGCGGUAGUUAACUACCGCUGAGUCCAACAGUAGUUAACUGUCGCCGCUUUGUAGAACAUCAGUUAACUACUGUUGGGGGCUUUUGGGUAAUUUUCUUGUGUCAUUAGGACGUUUUCUAUGUCAAAAAAGAAAUUUUCUUAUUAUAAAGGCAGCUUCAAAGAAUGGUGCAUGAAUGACAGUUACUACUAAUUUGUUUUCCCACAAAAAAGAAUUUAUUGCUUUUCAAAAAAAUAUGUAGAGUAAAUAGGGGUAAUUUUGUAAAGAAAUAAUUAAUGCACUUGAAAAUAUCAAAAGGGUCUUAUAAAAAAGAGACAAAUUUGUUUUCUAAAAGGGUCCUAUAAUAAGGGACGGAGGUAGUAUAUCCUUUGUUUCCUCUAUUCCUAAUCGACAUGGGACAUAAUCACUCACACUUGAUUACCCUAACAUUCUCCUCCUCAAGUGUGAAUCACCCACAUCACUAGCAUGAUCCACACUAGGAUCUUGCUCCCCACCGAGCCUAACCACGACUUUGAUACCACUUUUUGGAGAGUCCGGGGAGCGCUGGGAGCGGCAAUGUGCUAAAUAUCCACGACCUUAAGAGACUUAAACACCACACUCUUGCUCAAAACCUUAAGGCAAUGAGUUUAUGUGUUCCCUCUUCAGUAACUAAUAUUUUUAACCCCCUUCUUUAUUCAAGAAACUUAACAAUCAAACCCAACAAUCUCCACCUUGAUUGUAGGAGUUUCAUAUUCCGCUUCCAUUGUCUAUACCAAAAAUCAUACUCCACCAUAAAGAGUAUACUUCAUUUGAAACUGAACCAUUCCAAUAAUUUCUUCACGUCGAAACCUUGCUGAAAGAUUAUUGUGCAACUCCCAUGUUGGCUUUCAGGAAUUUCUUCAGCCAUCGACAUAGCUCACCACACACCUUGCAUCAAUGUCAACUAAUGCCCGUGUGUUGUUUUGAAUCCGCUAGCAAUAACUUGUCCUUUUGCACGGUACUUUAUUUUCUAGAUAAGAUCACAAUCAUCUCCCAAAACAAAGGAGACAUUGCCAGCACUUGCCUCAGAGUCUUUACUCCCAUGUUGGUUUUCAGGAAGUUCUUCAGCCAACGACAUUGCUCACCACACACCUUGCAUCAAUGCCAAUCAAUGCCCCUGUGUUGUUCUCAAUCCUCUAGCAAUAACUUGUCCUUUUGCAUGGUAUAGCGGAAAUACCAUAAGGAGCACUUUAUCUUUUAGAUAAGAUCACCAUCAUCUCCAAAAACAAGGGAGACAUUACUCCCAUGUUGGCUUUCAGGAAGUUCUUCAGCCAUCGACAUAACUCGUCACACACCUUGCAUCAAUGCCAACUAAUGCCCGUGUGUUGUUCUGAUUCCGCUAGCAAUAACUUGUCCUUUUGUAUGGUAUAUCGAAAAUACCAUAAGGAGACACUUUAUCUUCUAGAUAAGAUCACCAUCAUCUCCCAAAACAAGGGAGACACUCUUUAAAUGCACAAACAUUCCACAUUUAAGCGCCUUGUGUAAUCCUGAUUGUAUCAGCACAAUUCGUACUUUCCACUUCAUUGUGCUUAAAUAAGACAUAGCAGCGUACUUUCCACUUCAUUGUGCUUGAAUAAGACAACAACUGCACAGUACAACCCUUCUUCAGCACUUUCACAAUAUCACAUUUUUUUUCUUACGGAACCGAAGCUCUGAUACCACUGUUAGGUAUUCAGGGGAACCCCGUGAGGGGCAAUGGGCCAAAUGUUCUUUCAGGACCAUAAGAGACUUAAACACGACACUCUUACCUAAAACCUUAAGGCAAUGAGUUUAUGGGUUCCCUCUCUUAUAUAUUCUUUGUUUCCUCCAUUCCAAAUCGAUGUGGGACAUAAUCACUCACACUUGAUUACCCAACAUUUGUUUCAUCAUUCCACACAUAUCCUUAUUGAUUUAUGUUAGUUGUGUUUGAGUAGAAGUUUUUAUUUAUUUUUGGGUUAGUAGUGUUUUUCGCCCCUAUAAAAUUUUCUGUUUGAUUUGCACCCUCGUAAUUUUAUUUUUUUUCUGGAAAAAAUCCCUAAUAGGCCGUUUUCAGAAUUUUUUUUUCAAGAAAUUUUGGUUUUUGAAUGGCCUAUUAGGGGUGUUUUCCGAAAAAUAAAAAUUUUACGAGGGUGCAAAUCAAACUGAAAAUUUUAUAGAAGCGAAAACCAGAAAUGACAUAUAUUACAAGGGUGAAAAACACUAUUAAUCCUUUAUUUUUUGGUAAUUCUCAGAUAUAGAUCUGUGCUUGACGUACUGAAGUUAUUUCCUUCAUUUUCUGAAUUUUUUGGAUUAAUGCAUUAAGGUUGACGAAUAUUGAGAUGAAGGUGUUGUAGAAGAUAAAUAACUUUAUUUUAUUUUUUUAUUUUUAGUAAAAAUUAAUUAGAAAAUACAUAUUGCUUUGAACUUGCCACAAUAUAUUUUUCUCAACCAACAAAAACUUGUCACAAUAGCAAUAAAACAGCCAUUUAAGCACUUGUUAAUUAACGAAGCUUGAUGGAAAAAGGCAACAUUAUAAACAUUUUAUGACUCAAAUGAACAAUUUAUUACAAAAAGAUAAUUAAAGGAGCAAUUUGUCACAAACGCAAAAUAUAUUUGAGAGUAUUUUUUUUUUUUAAGGAUUAAAAUUUAUCUUGAAUAGUCCUAUAAACAUACCUCAAUUAGUAAUUACUAGAAAUAUUAUGUAUAGAAGUUGGGGUUUGAACCUCGAAUUUCUCACUUCUCUAUACAUAAUACAUGUAAAACUAGUCUAGUCGGCACAAACAAAAAUUGUCUUGAAUAUGCAAGCAAUGUGUAGUCAAACCAUAACAUAUUUACAAUAGCAGCCUCAUUUGACUUAGUUUUCUUCUACAAUAACGCGGAAACACCCCAUAAUUAAAAAGUGAAAUCUUCUUGACUCCUGUAGUAAAUAUGAGAAUUUUUUUUAUUUUUCGGGUUCUAGAAAAAGUAUUUUUUAAUUUUGAAGAAAAAGACAUAAGCCUAUAAAUAUUAUAUCCUCGUGAUACAUCGUAUCAAAAAUGGCAAGACUAUGUUCUUACUCUUGUCUCUAUGUUCUCUAUGUCUCACUGCAUUAUUACUUCUUCACUUGCUUAGCUAUGAGUACUAACAAAAACAUCACCAUAGAUGAAUUUUCACUUCUUGCAUUCAAAUCCUCUAUUACCUUAGACCCUUAUCACAAGCUUAGUAAUAAUUGGUCAAUCUCCUCUUCUACUUCUUUCUCAUCAUGUAAUUGGGUUGGUGUCACUUGUGAUGAGCAUCAUGGAAGAGUAAAGGCAUUGAAUCUUAGUAAUAUGGGACUUGAAGGUAGGGCGUAGCCUUGUUUAUGAAUAUGGUAGCUUAGCAUUUUUUUUCUGAUCAAAUAAAUUUUUUGUGCAUAUAAAUAUAAAAUAUAUAUAUAUAUAUAUAUAUAUAUAUAUAUAUAUAUAUAUAUAUAUAUAUAUAUAUAUAUAUAUAUAUAUAUAUAUAUAUUUUAUAAUGUUCUAAACAUACAUGCAAAAAGUCAUUCAAAAAUAUAUUGAUUUAAUAAUUGAGACUAAAUAUGUUAGCACGAUCCCCUCAAAAAAAAUAUGUUGAGCAAGAUAAUUUUGUAGAGGCUAACAAGUACAAUUUUAUAUGGGGAUGUAAAACAAUGUCUGAAAAUUUUAUAAGGACUAAAAAUAUAUUUAACCUUUGAUUUAUUAUUUGUUUUCUUUGACAAUUUCAGUCUUUACAACAACUUAAAAGAAAGAUUUUCACUAAUGAAAAUUGUCGAGACAAAAUUCAAAAACAAAAUCAACAGUGAAUUUCUUGCAAAUUUUUUAAUUUUCACAUUGAAAAAAUGUUUUUUUUAGAGGAACAUUGAAAGAUAGAUUUUUUUUUUUUUAAAGAUUUGAUAAAACGAUUGUUAGUCAGUUUAUUAUGUCAAAUAUUAUUGACAAAAUUUAUUUGUUGAAGCCUCAUUGAUAUCAAUUUUCCUAAAUAUAUUUCUUUCUUGUUGAUUUAUUCUAUAUUUUAUAUAUGUAAAAACUAUUGAAUUUGUUUGGCUUAAUACUUAAGUUUAAAAAUUAAUUUAAUAAUAGUUUUAUCCUUUAUAUUUGACCUCUUGUAAAUUUCAUGCUAACUUCACCACCGGUUGAAGGUACAAUUUCCUCUCAAUUGGGAAAUCUCUCUUUCCUUGUUAUUCUUGACCUACAAGGCAAUAGUUUCCAUGGUGAGUUUCCACAAGAGUUACUUCAUCUGCAGAGACUGAAGAGAUUAGACUUGAGCUACAAUGAUUUUGUUGGAGAAAUUCCUCAAUCUCCAACUUGUCAAUGUUAGAGUACCUAGAUUUAAGAUCAAAUCUCAUCAAAGGAUUCAUACCAACAACAAUUUCCAACAUGUCUACACUUGAAGAAAUCCAUUUAGCUAGAAACUCCUUAUCAGGUAUUUAUACUCACACCAUUACACAACAUCUUAAUUACAUGCAUGUGAAUAUAUAGCUGAGUUUGACUAACUUUGCUUGUUAAUUUAGGUUUUACACGUAUGCAUAUGAAUAUAUGAUACUCUAGGGCAGCAUUUCGUUAGCUUAACUCAGUUGGUAGGAACAAAUGCAUAAUAUAUGCAAGGUUAGGGGUUCAAACCUCGAUCACCACCAAAAAAAUUAAUCACCAUUUUACGAUCAUCAUUUAAGGUUAAAUUCUUACCACACUAACCUAACAUCAUAUACAAGAAUUAAUCUAUCUCACUUACUAUAAAAUUAUUUGAUAAAACUUUCCUCAACUCCCAACAUGACUUUAGAUAUUUCCUCAAGAAAGAAACAUAACUUUAGCGUUUACAUAUAUACAUAUGUAAAAAAAUUGUGCUAUAUCUAGAGGUGUAUUUCUUUACAAAGUAGGCAGAAAGUGUGAUUUUUUAGAAUAUAAGGAUGAAAAGAAACACAUAAAAUAUAAAUAGGAUUAUUGAUUAUUUUUUGGUCAGGUAGCCUAGUGGCUAUAAUUCACCUUCUUUUGGGGUGUCCGCGGUUCGAACCUCGGCCCCUGCAUAUAACAAUGCAUGUCCCUGCCAACUGAGCUAUGCUCACGGGGACAUUUGAUUAAUCAUGCAUUACAUGAUAUUUAGUAACAUAUGAAUCAUGCAUGCACGCGGUUCCUUCGCAUGUAUAUGUCGGCCUCAAGACAGGUAUCCCUUCUUUUGGGAUUUAUGGGGUGCCUAGGUGUUUUGUAUAUAUGCGACACCUUGAUUGUAUGUUUCCCUUUUUACCGCGAGUUAAAUGUUCCUUACAUUUCCUCGUUGAGAAUAAUAUUUGCUAUUAAAAAAAAAAAUCAUGAUAAAUGUCUUUCAUCUGUCUAUGUUGAACAAAAGGUGAAAUUCCAAAAGGAAUUGGUGAUCUUACACACUUGACAAUGUUGAACCUUCAAUUUAAUCUACUCUUCGGCAACAUAAAAUCAACAUUAAUGUUCAACAGCUCAUCUUUGCAAUAUUUGGCACUUGGUUUUAAUAACCUGACUGGUAUUCUUCCAUCAAAUAUUUGUCAAGGGUUUCCAAAUCUUAAAUUACUCUAUCUUUAUCAUAAUGAUUUUUCUGGUAAAAUUCCAAAUAUUUGGCGUUAUUGCAAAGAGUUGGAAGAUUUAGAGCUAUCCUUCAAUAAUUUUGAUAAAGGACGUAUUCCAUCUGAGAUUGGAAACUUGACCAAGCUUCGGUAUUUGUAUCUUCCUAGCAACAACUUGGAGGGUAAGAUACUUUUCUCCAUUAUUUAUUGUUUCUUUAAAGUUGUAUGCUCCAAAAUUUUCAACUUCACUUUCACAUGUAUUUAAAAAAGGGUUUUUCUAUCGUGUGCAAAUUUGCACAUGUUAAGAAGUUUAAAGUAGUAACUUUAACUUGAAACUUGUGUUUUUUAUAUUAAAUAUGUAGCUUUUAAUCAACAAUUGUUGGUUUUCAAUAAAAAAUUACUACUUUUAGUUACCUUAACAUAUUAUUUUAUAUGUUGAUAUUCCAGAAUUACUGUUUUAAUUAAAAAUGGCACCAAAAAGCAGUAAAUUUAAUUAGAUGUAUUUUAUUUAAAUAAUAUAAUUAAUGCAUCCAGUAAUCUGAGAGACAUUAUUUUUAAAUAGAAUGUAUAUUGAGAGAUCAAGGUACUGCGUCAAAAAUAAUAUAAUAAUUAGUUAAAAAAAUUGACUUAAUUGAUAAGAAAUUGAUUGUUCUGCAAAGUUGUGGAUUCAAUGUGAUGAUAGGUCUGCCCUAAGCCUAUUAAGCCAGACUCAUUUAAACUUUUUCUCAUCAAAAUAAAUAAUAAAAAAUUAUAAUAAUUAAACAUAUAUUCAUUAUCAGUUUUUUUUUUUUUUUUUUUUCUAUCAUGAUCAACCAUUAUUAAAGAUAAAUCAACAAUUGUGCAGUUCAACGAGUUAUAUGGUUAAAUAAAUGAUUCACAACAAUAUCAAUCUCAAUCAUUGGUUUUGUGUCAAAAAAAAUUUGUAUAGUUAAAGUACGACCAAGAAAAGAAAUAUAUAUAUAUAUAUAAACCAAACAAAUAAUUGAGCUCAUGUGGUUAAUGAGCUUCAUCAAUGACGAUUUAUUUAGGAAAACAUAAUUUCAAUUAUGUGUUAGAGUAAUUCACAAUUUUUUGUUACACUUUACUUACUUCUCGACCGAAUUCAUGAUUACCCGAACCCCAUUCCUCACUAAAAUCGAAGGUUUAAAAAAACAAUGAGCCCAAAAAGCAAUAAAGAAAAACAUUAAAAACAAAUAUUUAAUUAAAUAACAAAAAAUCAAAGGAGAAAAAUAUUCAUUGACAAGAAAAAAUGUUUUAGAUUGCGUAAAGAUCGUGAAAUGUGAGAAUUUAUCUAAUAUGAUGUCUAAAGAUAGAUCUUUAUAAGGGUUAAAUAUGUUUUUAGUCCCCAAAAUCACGAUUUUUCAAGUUUAGUCCCUAUAAAAUUUUAAGGGUUAAUGGUGCUUUACCCCCUGUAAUAUAUAGGUCAUUUUUGGUUUUCCCCCCUGUAAAAUAUUUUUUUUUUUUACCCCCUGGAAAUUUUUUUUUUUUUGAAUACCCCCCUAAUAGGUCAUAAAAAAACAACUUUAUUUUUUUUUUGUGCAGAAUUUUUCGUUUUUUUAUGCCCUAUUAGGGGGUUAUUCCAAAAAAAAAAAAAAUUUUACAGGGGGGUAAAUAAAAUAAAAAUUUACAGGGGGGAAAACAAAAAAUGACCUAUAUUAUAGGGGGGUAAAGCAUCAUUAACCCAAAUUUUAAUUGUAAUUUUAGUCCUCCAUAAUAUUGUAGUUUGUAAGAAUAGUCCCUAUUUUAAAAAAAAAUUACAAAAAAUUGAUACAAAUAAGGACCAAAAGUGAAUUAAUUUUUUGUAUGGAUUAAACUUAAAAACUUGUAAUUUGGUAGGGAUUAAAAUCAUAUUUAACCCACUUUAUCAUCAGGGUCGUUCCUAGUUUUACAGGCCUUAGGCAUAAUAUGAGAAAAGGGCCCCAUACAUAAUACAUCAUAAUUUUUUUUAGUUCAUUGUUGUGAUUUUAUUAGGCCUUCUUAUCGUUUUCCCCCCGCUUUUUACUACCAAAAAAGAACAAAAAAAUAUGAGUGGGCCACAUGAUCCUAAAUUCGUCUCACAUGAUUUAGCAUAAUGAUAUAAUUUAAUUUUUUGCAACAUUUUAAAGACAACAUUAAGAUUAAUUUCUCUAGUUGACUUAUUUUCAACUAAAAUAUUAUUUGUUUUGUUAUAAAAUUCUCAAUUUCUUGGAUAAUAAAUAUGACCAAUAUAUUUAAUAUUAGCAAGACACAUUAUUAGAAACAAAGGGUCCAAAAAAAAAAAUCACAAAUUUAUUCGAUAAUAUUUUUUUUGGCACAUUAUUAGGAAAAACUAAAUUUUUAUAGGGAGGGUGUAUAUAGAAAUAUUUGUAUAUAAGGGGGUAUAUAUAGCAAAUUGAGACAAAAGGGUCAUACACAUUAAGAGAGAAAGAUACAUUAUUUUUUGAAAACGUUAAGCGUUCACCUUUGAAUCAUUAGUAGAGAAGUAUACUGCUAUAUAAAUUAAAGAAUAAACCAUCAAUUUGGUCUUCAAACUAUCACCUUCUAUUUAAUUUAGUUCCUUAAUUAUAAUAAUAUAUUAAGUAGUCUUUUAACUAUUAUUAAUCCUUCAAAUCUCUUAAAGACAAGAGAGUAAAUGUUGGCUCAUGGAUUAAUAAUAGUUUAUUAACUGCAUAGUAAAUUUCCAUAGUUCAAGACUAAAUCGGAGAGAAGAAUGUCGUUCAGAGAUGAUUUAUUCUAAAUUAAAAUAUGAGCAAAGGAUUUUAGAGUUCAUAAGUUUACAAAUACAAGAAGACAUAGACUAGUGGAAAAAAUUAAAGAUUGAAGACGCGUGAAGGAAAUGAAAAGCAUCAACAAAGAAGUCGAAGACUUGGAAAAUUAAGACAGAAAAAUGAAAAAUCAUUGUUUUUAGGACCCAAUAUUGCAUUGAUAAAUAAUUCUUUUAUAUUUUUGUUUUACAUACUUACAUGUACGCAGGUGAAAUUCCAUUCUCCCUCUUCAAUAUCACUUCUUUGAGAGAUAUCAACUUUGACAAAAACAAUUUAAAUGGAAACCUCCCACCAGAGAUGUGUCAACAACUUCCUCAACUUCAAAUAUUUACUAUAAUGUUUAAUCAUUUUGGAGGAAGCAUUCCAAGAUCAAUUGGCAAUUGCACAUCACUACUAAUGUUAGGUCUACAACAAAACUUUUUUACAGGUAUACAGGCCACAAUUUUUAUUUUUUUUGAAUAAAAGAUGCUUAUAGCAUUUCAUUAAUAAUAAUAGUUUCAAUACAAAGAGGGAUUUCAUAAUAAAUAUGGGGACUAGCUAAGGAAGUGGCUUCUCUUGCUAAGGCAUGAGCUGCCGCAUUCGCUUGUUGCCGGAUAAACUCGACCCUAGAGUUUGUAAAAGAUGUGGAGAACAAAUCUCGACACGCAUCAAUAAUACUACCAAAUUCUGAAACAUCCGUCUUGCGGGAAUGGAAUGCAUCUCUCGUGAUUUUGGAAUCAAGCUCAAAAUCGAUGUUAUCAAACAGAUAUCUUUCAUCCAGUGGAUAGCAUGAUAAAGGCCCAAUGCUUCACCUAUUGUGACUGGAUAAAUAUGAUCAAACUGUUGCACCUUAGCCAGCAUAAAGGUUCCUGCGUCAUCUCGAACACAAACCCCUAUACCUGUCUGAAAAAGCCGCGUCUACGUUGCAUUUGAACCUGCCAUUACUUGGAGGCUGCCACUGCGGGAUAGCAGGUCCUAUAAGAGGGCUUUACUGCUGCACAGCCAGCUACACAGACACGACAGAAUGUUGAGCAGACUGCUGCACAGACGCAGCAGAAUGCAGCUGCUGAUUGCCUAUCUGCUGCAGGUCAGUUGGCCUCGAAACAUUGGCCUCCUACCAAUCAUCCACUGACUGUCGAGCUCUAUCAACAACUUGCAUUCUAUUCUCCGUUACCUCUUCCCAAAUUUUGAGAUUCUGAUGCUUCUGUAAACUCCAACAAAUAGCAGCAAAACGUUGUUGAAUAUCCAUAGACGAGUUUUGGAGUAAAUAGAAAACUGUGUUGACAGCAGAGUCCGAAUUCAUGGCCGCAUUUUGCACAUCCUGCCACAUACCAGCUGACAUCCAAACUUGAAUAGAAAACGGGCACUCGAAUAGAUGGUGGUUGAGAUCCUCAUACUCAUAACUACAGCUAACACAAUUCUUCGGACAAGACACUCUCUAGUAGGCAAACAUCCCCUACACAUACGCCAAACUAAGUGUUUAACCUUCGGGGGGAUCUUAAGGCGCCAAAUGUCUCGCCAAUUACCUGGACAAUGGAGGUGGGAAACAUCAACCAGCUCUUCAACAAUUUUAUAUUUUUAUUUUUAUUUAAAAAGCCUAAUGCAAAACUAACAUGCACAAAUUAUCAGAUAUUGUUUAUUUAUAUAACUUAGGAUAUAGUUUUAAAUACAUAGAUAUGAAUCAUAUGAUAUAUCUAUCAAGUCCUAUGUUGACUCCAAUAAAACACUGGAGAAGACAGAAAAUGAUAGUUUAUUGUUUUCUAAUUUUUUUUAAGCCAUAAAUAUCUUUCGAGGUUAAUUGUAAAGAUUAUUUCAUUGGAAAUAAUUGAGAUCUAUUUAAGGGGCUUGAAGGUGAGAUAAACACAAGAGGGGGGGUGGGGGGUUGAAUUUUGUUAGUUUUUUCUUCUUUUUAAAAUUAAGUCCAGUGUUCAGAAUCUUGAACAAAGUUCAGAGUCUUAUGCAGCGGAUAAUAGAGAGAGAGAGAGAGAGAGGGAGGGAGGGAGAAGAGUAAGACACAAAGCAAGAUACUUCAAACUACUCAAGCACAAAAGCAAGAGGUUUCCUAUACUCAAGCACAAACACAAGAGAGUUCCUAUGCUUAAGCACAAAAGCAAGAGACUUCUAAACAAACACAAUUACACAAAAAAUGUUUGAGGUUUGAACACUUGAUAUAAAAUCAGUGGUGUUCACAAUACAAAUCAGAUACAGACUCUUUAAGCCUCUAGAAUUUCUAAGAUAUGAAAGUUGUUAAGAAAUUCUAAGUGAACUUGAUGUGAAAAAAAUUUCAGCAGAGUUUUGGCACUUUGUAAAAUUGUUGUGAGUCUCUUACAAUCUUCAAGUCUUCACUCUUUUAUAUAGAGGCGUGAAAGAGACGUUGUUUGAUUGCCAGCACAUCAAAGAGUCGUUGUUGAAACUUGAUAAUCACCAAUGAUCUGUUACUUGAUUUGGUCAUUGUCCUAAGAGGGAAUAAUUUCAAAUUCAUUCCUUGAAUAUGGAAUAACCAAAGUAGUCAUAACUGUUGUCUUGUACUGCUGCAGCCAUGAUGAGUGGAGUAGUGGAGGUAGUGGUUGUACAAUUGUACUAUGUUUUUUCCUGCGCUAUUCAGUGGAUAAGGAUGAAAUAUUCUAUUCAUAUACUCAUUUAUCACCAAUAAUUCAUGAAUUAUGCACACCCAAGCCAUGAAUUAUCAUCCACAACAUCACUUAGCAACAAUAACAUCAAUUGAACAUGAAUCUUAUCACAAUUCAACAACAACAUAGCAUAAUUUCACAAAUUGAGCAUAUUCUAACAUAUACCACUUUCUCAUACUUUGAACAUGAAAUUUUACUAACAACAAUUCAAUUAUCAACAACUUCUUGCAUUCAAACAUAUCAUCGUAAUUGGAGCACGAAUUCAAACAAUUAUGAACAAUUAAUCAAUUACUCAAUUAAACACUUGUUCAUACAACAAUUGAAAAUUUACACUAAAAAUGAUUAUGAUGAAUUCUAACCCCCUUACCUUAGUUAGAUCAAUUCCCUAGCUCAAGCUUCACUUUAGCUUCUAGGUCCUCUCCAACUCUUGAAUCUUCAAGCUCCUCUUCUCUCUAACCCUUUUCCUCUUUGCUCCCACUUUCUCUCUCCACCUCUCUCAAAAUAUUUAUGUAAAUGAAAGUGUGAAGGAAAUUUCCUCUAAGACAAGGUUUAUAUAAGAUGUCCCCUUAAUGGGCCUAACCCUAAAGCUUAGUGGACUUAACCCACUCCAACUUAAAUCUAAAAUGUUUCUACACUUACAACUGUAAACUACUAUUAACGGUAAAAUACUACCAACGGUCACUUAACGGUAAAAUACUGAUUACUACUCUAGUAACUUAGUAAAAUAACGGUUCUCACCAAACCCUAAAAAUAAUUCUCAUCAAAAUUUACUAAUUUACUCUUACACCUAAAAUGACCAAAAUACCCUUGAGUCCAAAAUGACUAACCCUUCUAACACGAAAACCCAUGAAAAUGCACUCAAUGAUGAUUAAUCACACACAAGCACAAAUAAACACACAAUAAAAAUAAUUAAAAAUAAAUCUAACGAAAAUCGGGCUGUUACAUGAUGCAAAAGAGCAACAAGAAUUCCUAUGAUCUUGUGAUGUUUCUUGUAAAGCUUCUUCUGAGCAGUAGUGUGUUUCUUUCUAUCAAUAGCAGCUCUUUCUUCAUCUAAGGCCAGGUCACCAACACCAUCUUCAAGAACAUCCCAAAGCUCAUCAUAUCGACCCAUAAUGAAACUAUACAUUUUGUUUUCCACCAAGAGAAAGUUUCAGGAUCUCCAUUAAACCGUGGAGCUUUGCUGGAGCCAGAUUUCUUAUCAUCAGAAGUACCAUAGUCAUAUGGAACAACAUUGCUACCAUAACUGAAAACUUCACUAGAUGACAUGUUUUUCUCAGAUCUUUACAUGUUACACUGUUAAGUGCUAAGACAACAAAACCAAGGCUCUUGAUACCUACUGAAGGUGAGAAAAACACAAGAAGGGGGUUGAAUUGUUUUAACUUUUUCUUCUUUAUAAAACUAAGUCCAGUGUUUAGAAUGUCACAGAGUUCAGAAUCUUGAACAAUGUUUAGAGUCUUAUGCAGCGGAUAAUAGAGAGAGAGAGAGAGAGAGAGAGAGAGAGAGAGAGAGAGAGAGAGAGAGAGAGAGAGAGAGAGAGGAUAGAAAGACACAAAACAAUUAUACAGGUUCCUUCCAUAAUCCGGAAGUAGUCUUGUCCCCAUUUCACUUCUAAGGAGAGUUCACUAAAAUAAAUAUCUGAUUACAAUUGCUCAAGCACCAAAGCAAGAGACUUCAAACUACUCAAGCACAAAAGCAAUAGGUCUCCUAUGCUCAAGCACAAACGCAAGAGACUUCCUAUGUUGAAGCACAAAAACAAGAGACUUCUAAAGAGACACAAUUACACAGAAAAUGUUUGAGAUUUGAACACUUGAUAUACAAUCAGUGGUGUUCACAAUACAAAUCAUAUACAAACUCUUUAAUACUCUAGAAUUUCUAAGAUAUGAAAGUUGUUAAGAAAUUCUAAGUGAACUUGAUGUGAAAAAAAAUUCAGCAGAGUUUUGGCACCGGUAAAAUUGUUGUGAGUCUCUUACAAUCUUUAAGUCUUCACUCUUUUAUAUAGAGGCGUGAAAGAGACGUUGUUUGAUUGCCAGCACAUCAAAAGAGUCGUUGUUGAAGCUUGAUAAUCACCAAUGAUCUGUUGCUUGAUUUGGUCAUUGUCCUAAGAGGGAACAAUUUCAAAUUCAUUCCUUGAAUAUAUAAUAACCAGCGUAGUCACAACUGUUGUCUUGUACUACUGCAGACAAGAGGAGUGGAGUAAUGGAGGUAGUGGUUGUACAAUUGUACUAUGUUUUUUUCCUGCGCUAUUCAGUGGAUAAGCAUCCAAUGCCUUUUAAUUCCUCUGAAAUAGCUGUUGUUGCAGGCUUCCAUUCCUUCUGCAAUCAUAUCCAUUCAGAAUAACAACUUUUAACAAACUUUAGCUUCCAGUCUUCAAACUCUGAUCAAUUUUAACUUCUGAUGGUUCUUCAGACUCUCUGAUGACAUCAGCUUCUGGUAGACAACUUCUUAUAGUCUUUAGACGCUCUUUGUCUUUAGACUCCGUCUUGAAUCUUGCAACACAUGCUUCCUUUUUGCAAAUUGCAGUGCUCUCAUUUGUUCUUCCAGGACCAAUACUUGAAGUAAAGACUUGUAACUUUUUGUUUAUGGUCCCGCUCACUUGAACAAAUACUAGCAUAUCCCAUUGACAUUUUUAAUACCUUAUUAUCAUCAAAACUUAAAGGUGGUAAUGUUAAACACAUUUUGUUCCAAUAUGGCUGACUUUUCUCAAUAAAUUGUUUUCUAUAUUUUCUAUAUUAUUUUGAUUAUAAACAAUGGUCGAUGUUUCACCUAUUUAGUACUAUAUUAAAUAGGCACUCUCAUUAUGGAGUAUAAUUUAUGAGUGCUUAUGGAGAAUGGUGAUUAUGGAAACAUCCUUUCUUCAUAUUUCGCAGAUCCCAUUUAAUAAUUAUAUAUUUAUGGGACUUACUUAAUAAUUUCUUUUGAGGUACUGAGUUGAAGAAAAUUUAUAUGGAACCUACUGUUUUUAAUUUUUUUUAUCAAGCAAACAAAAACACUAUAACUUAAUAGGUCUGAUUUGAAUUUCAUUUUAUAGCAAAAAUGGGUUUAAGAAAGUGUAUAUGCACUCCUUAGGCUUUGAUUGCGAGUUUACAGGGAAAGGGAAAAGAAUGCUUGAGAAAAAAGGAAUGAGCAAGUGAAAGAAAUAGAAGAAAAUGGGAGGGGGUUAAUAACUGCCCACUUAAAAUCCCUGAGUUAAUAAGUGUUUUUUGUACUAGUGAGAGGACUUUGAGGGUUAAUUUUUCUUCAUAAUACCAAAUCCUCCUCGUUUGGGAAACAAAAAAAUUGUAUUGGAGGGGUUUGAUUGAAGAUUUUAUAUGAAUUCUUCAAAUUUAAUCUAUGUUGUUAUAUUAUUUUUAAAAUAAAAAAUAUAGUAAUCAUAUGCAUUACUUUGACUUAAUAACAGUUUUGACCCCCUAAGUAUCAGGAAGUUGUGAUUUUGACCCUCUAACAAAAUAAAAUAUAAUUCAGCCCUCUAUCUACUGCCCCUUUUGUAGUUUUGGCCCCCUAAACCAAUUUUGACCAAGUCAUUGCUGACGUGGCCGUCACGUGUGUAAUUAUUAUUUUUAUUUUAUAAUUAAAAAAAAUUACACACGUGGCGGCCACGUCAGGAUUGACUUGGUCAAAAUUGAUCUCGGAGGCCAAAACUGCAAAAGGAGCAGUACUUAGGGGGCUGGAUUGUAUUUUAAUUUGUUAGGGGGUCAAAAUCGCAACUUUCUGAUACUUAGGGGGCCAAAAAUACUAUUAAGCCUAUUACUUUAUCAUUCUCUAAAACACUACUAUUUUAAAUUUUGAAAGAUUUCUCCAUUUCCCCCAUAUUUUCCAUCCCUUAAAGCCUUCCCUUCCGCUCCCUUGCAAACUCGUAAACAAAGCCUAAGGGUGUGUUUGGAAAGAGGGUUUAGUGGGGAAGGAAGGGGAGGGCUUACAUUUCUUUUUUAAUUUACAAAUAUAUAAAAAAAAUUUUAAAAAAUUGAAUAACAACAUGAUAAAUGAUCAUAUAAUACUUCAAAAACACUUAAUUUAUUUUAAAAAGACAUUUUACAUUGUUCGUAACUUAAAAAAUAAAAGUGAGUCUUAUCAUCCCUUCCUCUCCUAAACCCUCAAUCCAAACAUGGUUGUGUUUGGGAUAUACUUUUUCCUUAUUAAUUAAGCCUAAUAUUAUGCUUAAGCAUUUCAUGUUGCUUAAUCAUAUACCUGUGGGUUUGUUUAUUUGUUGUUUCUCAUGAUGUGUUCUUAUAGGUUUGAUACCUAUGGAGAUUGGCAAUCUCAAUCAAAUUCAGGUUCUACAAAUGGGAAAUAACAGCUUGAGUGGACAUGUUCCUUCUAAACUCUUCAACAUUUCAACAUUGGAACAUUUGCAUCUUGAGCUAAAUUCUCUCUCAGGCAUGCUUCCACCCAAUAUGGGACUUGGCCUUCCUAAUCUACAAGAGCUGCACAUGUACAAAAACAAAUUUGUUGGGAAAAUUCCAAAUAGUAUAUCCAAUGCUUCAAACCUCUUCAUAAUUGAUUUGAGUUGGAAUAAAUUUAGUGGAAUUAUACCCAACACUUUUGGAAAUUUAAGAUUCCUCAAAUCACUCAUUAUAGGUGGCAAUCCUAAUUUGACAUUAACAGAUGAUUCUCUUGAAUUCAAUUUCCUCACUUCACUGACAAGUUGCACAUAUCUUACACAUCUUGAAGUAUCAGAGAAUAGUUUACCAUCAAAUCUUCCCAAGUCCAUUGGAAACUUAUCUGUAGAAAACUUUUGGGCAAAUUCUUGUGGAAUUAGUGGAAAUAUUCCACUAGAAAUCGGAAAUAUGAGCAACCUGAUUCGCUUAUCUCUGAGGAACAAUGAUCUAAAUGGACUAAUCCCUACUACAAUUAAAGGUUUACAUAAGCUUCAGUCUUUGAAACUUGACCAUAAUGGACUGCAAGGAUCCAUCAUUAACGAGGUUUGCGAACUUAGGAGUUUAGGUGAGUUGUCCUUAACAAGCAAUAAGCUUUUCGGAGUGUUACCAACAUGCUUGGGAAAUAUGAGUUCUCUUAGAAAGUUGUACAUAGGAUCUAAUAGGUUAACCUCAGAGAUACCUUCCUCCUUUUGGAAUCUCAAAGAUAUUCUAGAGGUGUACUUAUCUUCCAAUGAUUUAACCGGAAAUCUUCCACUUGAGAUCAAGAAUUUGAGAGCUAUUGUAAUAUUAGAUUUAUCAAGAAAUCAAUUUUCAAGCAAUAUUCCUACAACCAUCAGUUUCUUGAAAACUUUAGAAAUUCUCUCCUUGGAAUCUAACAAAUUGAUAGGGACUAUCCCAACUUCAAUUGGUGAAAUGUUAAGCCUCAAUUUCUUGGACUUGUCUCAAAAUUUUAUAACUGGUGUGAUUCCAGAAUCCUUAGUGUCACUUUCUUAUCUUAAGUACAUGAAUUUGUCAUACAAUAGAUUGCAAGGAGAGAUUCCUGAUGGAGGACCUUUCAACAAAUUUACAGCUCAAUCUUUCAUGCAUAAUGAAGCACUUUGUGGAAGUGCUAGGUUAGAAGUGCCUCCAUGUGAUAAACAAAGUAGGAAAAAGUCAAUGAAAAAGAUGUUAUUAAUCAAAAUCUUAUUGCCUAUAAUUGUGAUAGCCAUUUUGGUUGUCCUAUGCAUAAUUCUUCUAAUGCAUAAAAAGAAAAAAGUUGAAAAUCCACUUGAAAUGGGUUUAUCAACUGAUUUAGGGGUUCCAAGAAGGAUUUCAUAUUAUGAACUUGUGCAAGCAACUAAUGGAUUUAGCGAGAGUAACUUACUUGGAAAGGGGGGCUUCGGCUCUGUGUAUCAGGGAAUGCUUUCUACCGGGAAGAUGGUAGCAAUUAAAGUACUUGACUUGAAUAUGGAAGCAACAUCAAGAAGUUUUGACGCAGAAUGCAAUGCAAUGCGCAUUCUUCGACAUCGAAAUCUUGUUGAGGUUAUUACAAGUUGUUCAAAUAAAGAUUUCAAGUCAUUGGUGAUGGAGUUUAUGUCAAAUGGAAGUGUUGAAAAAUGGUUAUACUCGGAUAACUAUUGUUUAGAUUUCUUGCAAAGGUUGAAUAUAAUGAUAGAUGUUGCAUCUGCAUUGGAGUAUCUCCAUCAUGGUUCUUCAAUACCAGUGGUUCAUUGUGAUUUGAAGCCUAGUAAUGUGUUACUAGAUGAAAAUAUGGUUGCACAUGUCAGUGAUUUUGGAAUUUCUAAGCUCUUGGAUGAAGGACAUUCUAAAAUCCAUACUGAGACUUUAGCUACUCUUGGCUAUGUUGCACCAGGUACUAAAUUUAUUCUCUUCUAUGUCAUAUUAGAUCAAAUGAAUAUGAGUUUAGUUUGAUAAACUUACUUGAAAAAAUAAUAGUGAUUUACAUAUUCUAGAAGAGAAUAAACUACUUGUAAAAUACACACACACACUUAGCAAGAAAGAAAAUGUGAUUACUAACUCCUUUCUAAAAAUUUGGUCAUUUUAAUUAUGUUUGAAAUCAAAUCUUUAAUAUUUAGUGAUUAAUGUUGAUGUAUACAGGUCCUGUGAGCUUAGCUCAGUUGGUAGGGACAUUGCAUAUUGUAUACAGGGGCCGGGAUUCAAACCUCAGACACCCCACUUUUCCACGUUUAAAAUGUGUGAGCUCCAGCCACCAGCUACUUGACCAAUUUUUUUUUUUUUAUGUAUACAGAGUAUGGAUCUAAGGGAGUCAUUUCUAUUAAAGGAGAUGUGUACAGUUAUGGAGUAAUGCUAAUGGAAAUCUUCACAGGAAAGAAGCCAACAAAUGAAAUGUUUGUACAAGAAUUAACCUUAAAAACAUGGAUUAGUGAGUCAAUGCCUAAUUCAGUUAUGGAAGUUGUGGAUUACAAUUUAGUCUCACAACAAGGGAAUGAAACUCAUGAAAUUGUAUCACAUGUAUCAUCUGUUUUGGAUUUAGCAUUGAGAUGUUGUGCAGAUUCACCAGAAGCAAGGAUUAGUAUGGCAGAUGUAACUGCAUCACUAAUCAAAAUCAAGAUCUUAUUCAUCUAGUGAACAUGGAUGUCAAUAAAUAAAAUUAUGGGUCACUGGACUAUAAAAUCAUAUAUUAUCUUGUAUUUUGAAACCUCUCAAUGUUCUUGUAUUACUACAUUUAAAAUUCUUAUAACACUUGAGGAUAUAAUUUUAUAUGUAAGUUAUUUAUAUUAACUGUCAAUAACUAGGGUGUAGAUCGCAGACGUCGUGCUCGUCUGUUUGUUUUUCUCAAAUGAAUGUAACGUAUAAAUAAAGUCAAGUACACGUAUGUCCAUCCUGAACUCUUUUUCACAGUAGGUGGGUACCAUCAUCGCCUCUCACAAGUUGGUACAUCACAAAUAAUGUGUCAUUUGAGCACCAUCCUCACCUUUUACAAAAUGACAAUCGAGUACAAUUAUCACUUCUCAAAAGUUAGGUCACUCGUCACAUUGAGAUUCGACACAAGAUCCACGCAUCUAAUAGCAAAAUAUAGAGCCAGGAUUCCCAACUUUCAGCAGCAGAAUCCUGCAUUCAGGCAAUUGGACAAUGUCGGCCGAAAGGUGAUGUUGAUGAAAGGAAAAGAGAUUGCAGUUUCAUUUUAAUUGACAAUAAUGGUCAUACAACAUCAAGUCAGUGUAUGCAUGUGAGAGUAUGAGCGAAUAUGCAAGAGACAAACCCGAUGUAGUUGAAGAGUCUUCGUUUUUGAACUGUCCAACGCAACUCCACUUGCUGCACACCUCCAAUGCACAGAGCAGGUUAAGGUAGAGUGAAUUCUUGCAACCGUUUACUUGUACAAUGUGUCACCGACACAUAUCAAGUUUCAUGCACAUGAAUACAUUACUAUCUUCUAAAACCUCCGGUUUUGAAAUGUUAAAAAUUAAGAAUCCAUGAUUUCUAUACUCAAAAGUCAAAAGGUAUCAUUAGGUUGCCCCAUCUCACAAGUGUUCAUGUCGGUAAAUAAACUCAAGUAAGUCAAUCGGAACAGAUACAAAAUUCACACAUUUAUCUACGGGCUAACCUAGGAAUGGUUGGAGAUGACCCUCUGAGAUAAGACAUGUUUUGGAACAUAACUUAUAAAUAAAAGACUCAGGAACCUCGGCCGCGCUAUUCCCUUCACUUAACCAUUACGGUGCCCUAUUUUCAGUUCUAUCCCUGGGCUCCAAUGUAUUCAAAACACUUCCUUCGGGUAAUUAUUAGUGUCGGAUGCAGCAAUGACUUUUGAGAUGCAGUUUUUCAUAUAAGGAGUUAGAUCAAAAGCUAAGACAACACAAAAUUUAUGAUUUCUUUUAAGACACUCCCAAUUUGUAUAACUGUCAAACAUGUUGCUUACAGAUUCAAUCAUGAUGUCCACCACAAUGCUAUGAACAACAUAAGAUAUUUCAGGAAACAUUUUAAUGCAAAGUUGAUUGUAAAGGCCGUUUUCAAUUACUGCAAAAUAAUUAGAGUGCAUAUUAAUACCGUUUGAAAAAACAAACUAAACCCAAAGAACACCGAGCAAUCCGAUUCAUAUCAACCUUGGAGUGGAAAGAAAGAACCCAGUGAAACCAAAUUUCAGUACAAUAUACUGUUAGAGAAGUUUACAUUUUAGAAGCAAGACAUAAUUACAAUUGACCAAUUUAGUAGAUUGAAGCUUGGACUACUGAUUAAGAAACUAUAUUUAUGGUUUGUAAAAUUUUGACAAGAUUUACAAUUGAAUAGUCAUUUUGAUUAAACUAAGAUUUGAAUGUUUUUUAAAAGAAUCUAAAUCAACCAUUUGAGUCUCAUAAUUGAUGCAUGUAUUCAUCACAUGACCUUCAACAUGUACAAGGCUAAGGAGGUGAUUCAUUGGCAUUGAUUAUAAUAAAUAAAUAAAUAAAUAAAAUAAGCACUUAAUUAUUAGUUAUUACAAUACAAAUAUUUUUGUUCUUGACACUAGACAAUACAAACACUUGAAGAGAGUAAAAACGGUAAUUUCAGGACUCAGGAGCAUGAAGCGCUGAUACAGACACCGAACACGACAGGACACCGGCACGAAGAAAUCGUUAAUGAUUGAAAAUAUAGAACAGAUUGUAUGCAACACAAGUGUUGAAGUGUCAGUAUUAUGUUGGUGUCGAACUCUCUUACACGCCUUCAAUCUGAAGUGUCAGUGCUACACAUAGCUCAUGAAUAAUUGGUACAAGACCCAGGCUCUUGGCUGCUCAGCUGAGAACAUGGCCAAGGACUAACCUGCUUUGAAAAUCCAAAAACAUCAGAGCACUUCCAAGGUGGAGAUCUACCUGAUCCUGUCUCACCAUGAAGGUUGAUAUCAUAGAAACAAAUCUCAGUAAAAGGUGAAUUUCUCAAACCAUGUAUCAAACCAGCUUGCAAUACCUUCACACCCCAAACACUCUUAAUUGUAAUCCCCUUCACAACUGGUAGAGCAUUAGGGUUAAAAUUUUCAUCUGGAUGGUCACCUACAUCACCAGCAAUUUUUAUUCCUUGCCUUGAAUUUUCUAUAUACACAUUAGACACUGUUAUAUUCUUGAUAAGUCCUCCUCUUCCAAUGUUUGUCUUAAUGUGGAUACCAACUCCCAUGUUGAAGAGGUUGAUGUGCUCGGCGAGUACAUUCUGUACUCCGCCUGAUGUUUCACUGCCUACGGCAAUGCCGGCAAAUGGAGACGAUCCGGUUAUACGUCUGAUAGUGAUGUCAUUGCUAGGACGGCCGUAUGAAAUACCGUAUGCAUCCCAUCCACUCUUCACAGCCACAAGAUCAUCUCCUGUUGAUAUGUAUGAGUCCUCUAUGCAGACAUUUGAACUUGAAUCUGCAUAAAUGAAUUAUAUUUUACAGAUGAUUGAUUACAAAUGUUAACUUUAUUUGGAAAACAACUCUUAACUACUUUCUGAAGAGUUUCUUAUAAAAGAUAAUCACAUUUUUUAAUUAAAAUUUUCUUAAAAAUAUUGUUUGUCCUAACUUCUUCUUUUAAGGAGACAAUAAGUUAAAAAUAAGUCAAGCCAAACAGAACGUAAUCUAUAUAGUAAACCAAGGAGCCAAUAUAAAGAUCAUUUAUCUAAGUUUUGGAAUCAACAUUAAUAAGUUUUGAGCUAGAUUUAAGGAAGAAAGUUCUAUCGGUAUUUACCUGGGUCAAUUCCAUCAGUGUUAGGAGAGUCGCGAGGAGCCAAAAUCGUGACAUAUCGAACAACAACAUUGCUGCAAUGAAGGAAAAAUGUUUUGAAUUACAUUUUAGGAAAAGACCUAUAUCCCUAUGAUGCAUUUUUGUUUUUUUUUUAUCAAGAAAAUGAUGUCAAAAUUUUUGAUUCAUGCAUCAAAUUUUUACCUGCAGUAAACUGGAUGUAUAUUCCAGAAGGGAGAAUUCUUGAAAAUAACAUUUGAAAUAAUAAUAUUUCUUGAAUUCAAAAAUUCAACAAGGUUUGGUCUUGUAAAUUGAAGAGUUCUCUGCCUCCACAUGUUCCACCAUACAUCUCCUUGCCCAUCAAUUGUUCCAUUCUCACCUAUGAAAAUAAGAGUGAAGGAGGAGAGAGAUUAGGUUUUAAUUUUUCCUAAACAAAUUAUGGAAAGAAUUAACUUAAUAAUAAAGUGUCAUUCUAUAAUUAAAAGUGAAUAAUAAAAAAAUGAAAACAGAACAUUGAAUCAAUUAUGGCUAUAUAGUAUAGAUCUUUUUCAGCAUGCAAUUUUCUUGUUUUGGUUACACCCAAUAAACAUUUUAGAUUCAUUUUAGUAUAGUUGGGUAUUAAGUACUAAUUUUUUUAUAUGCUAUUAGGCAUAGUUCUAAAUUCCCGCCGUAAAAUUAAGGUUUUGGAGGUCUGGACAACAGUUUCACAACCACUAUUGCGACCGCGUCGGCCACAUUUCCUCACAUGUGACUGCAUCUGUAACUUAGAACCACACUUACUGGUGUGAUAUGAACUAGAAAAUCAAGUGAGUAAUAAUUUAUAUGUACCUACCUGUGAUGAUUACAUCGCGAACUCCAUCGCCGUGGAUAAAACUUAUAUACCUUCCUCCUGGGAGCUCCCUUCCUCUUCCAUAAGAUGGUAAAGGUGCAAUUAAAGGCCAAUUCCUCAACCUCUAAAGAAUGAAGAAAGGAAGAACAUUAAGAAAAGAGUAAGGGAGAAAAAACUUGGCAUUCAUUUGAAAAUUUAUAUAAUGCAUGUUUCUAUUUCUAUAGACAAACAACAAACUAUUCACAAGAAAGAGCAAAGAUAUUUUGAUGAUUUCCAUUGAACUUUGAACAUUCACUUCAGAUUAAGUAUCAACAUUACACUACCAAACAAAGGUCACAACACAUAAUUCCUCCAAUCACAUUUAAAUCCACACAAAAAUUAGGCUUAGAUACUUUUUUAAGAAGAAGCUAAAUUAGCUACCUUGACAUCGGGCAAAAUCGAACCUGAGACUUGAGGAGAAACACACUUCCAGAUCUCAAGCCAAUACUAUCAGGCUAACUCAAGUGGAUUGCUUAGAUACAAUGUUUAUCUCACUAUGUUAACUGAAAGUGUAUUUUAGUCCUCCUAUUCCAAAUAUGGGAUUUUUGUCUAGAGUUUCACAAGUUUUAUGAUUUUUCUCCACAAUUCUAUUUGGGCUUAUUUUUUGUAACAUUGCUAAUUUGAACCAAAAAAUAUGUUACAAUUAUUUGUCUGGUUCAUCAAAUGUACACCUAUAAUUCUGAAGUAAGUUGUUUUUUUUUUUUUGUAAGUUCUAUGGCUACACCGAUUUGUACUUCGCCUUUUCUCUCUUCGCCGGAGACGGCGUCGUCGGGUCCAAAGUCGUUUGCUCAAGCUGUGUCUGCUUCUGGGGAAGAUUUCUUGCCUUCGCCUCCGCCUAACGUCAUCAUCGGUGACACCGUUCGCAUUAGAAUCAAUCAGCGUGAAUAUGAAGCAGAGCUCUCGGAAUGUCUUCGCAACCUCCAUGGCCGUGUCACACUGCAGAAGGGCGAUCCCCCUCUUUCAUCAAAGGCUCUUAAGCAGAAGUUGGAAGGGUUUUGGCCACAUCUGAAGCCUUGGUCCAUCACUCCGCUUGGCAGAGGUUACUUCAAAUUCAACUUCCACUCCAUUGAAGAGAUGAAGAAGGUAUGGGCAUUCGGUGUUGUUCAGUUAAAGCCAGGAAUAUUAAGAUUCUUCUGCUGGUCUAAAGACUUUGAUCCUCAAAACCAGAUUCAGUCACACGCGCAGUUGUGGGUAAGGCUCAUAAAUCUCCCUCAAGAAUAUUGGAGGAAGACCACACUAUUUGAAAUCGCAUCAGGUAUUGGUACCCCCUCACUAUAGAUGAAGCCAUACGAUCCCGUCUUUUUGGGCACUAUGUGCGUAUUCUCAUGGAUGUGGAUAUGUCCAGUAAGCUGUUUGAUUCGGUGGUGGUUGAGAGGGAAGGUUUUGUCUUCCCGGUAGCUGUGGAGUAUGAGCGUAAGCCUUCAUUUUGUUAUAACUGUAAGUUGUUAGGUCACUCUAUUCAGCUUUGCAACCGCAUUAACAAUAUACAACAUCAUGCUGCUCCAAAAAAUCAACAGAAGAAACCUAUUCAGCAAUCUAAUAUGCCCAAUAAGGAUGCCUUAGUCAAUACUACACAACAACCAUUACACUUAGAGUCCCUUCCCUCAUCCUCUCUUAGAGGUUGUUGAGGUAGUGUCUUUUUCUCGUGACAAGGCACAUACUUCUAUUGAAGAAAGGCCCUCAAAGGUUGCGGAUCCGGUUACUCUCUUACGUUGGGCUAAUUCUCCAGUUCUCGCCCCUUUGGCUUUGCCUAGCAGUUCUGUUCUGAGGUUUCCUGUAGAGCCAGGUGAUUGUGCUCAUAUUGCAGCUAUUGAUGCUAGUGUCAAAGUUACUCUUGACAACACCACCUCUCAUCCAUCUAUGCCACAGCCUGUAACUACCUACUAUGAUAGUUUGACAAGUGACAAGCUCCCUUCAAACCAAAAUUUGGUUCAUGCCUCCAAACCCUCUCCAUUCUACUGCAGCCCUUAAGAGUGUGCAAAUUAUCUCCAAAUUCUGGGGGGCUGAAGUUGAGGAAGAGGACAAUGAUGAAGCCAUCACAUCAACCUUUGAGCAGCACUAUCCAAGUCUGUCAGAGAGCACUAAGGCAGAUAAAAAGCAAAAGAAGCAGGUGAACAAAGUGAAGCCUACUAGGUUCAACUCAGCCGGAAUGAGGACCCGUGCUCAAAAGGGUGCCUCCAAAGCUGCCUUGCCAUAUACCGAAUAGUUGGUUCAAAUCUCUGUGAACCUGGGUGUUAAGCUAGUAGCUUCUGCCAUUUCUCUGUUGUUCUUCUUUUAGCAGUUUCAUUGUUAGUUUAUUUCAUUCAGAAUUUGCACAAGCCUUCCUUGUUAUAGAUCUCUGUGAUAUAAUGUUUUGCACCUUCUUUUUGUUUUGAUGUAAGCACUUUUGUUGUUAAGAGUUCUGGCCCUCUCCAGGUCUUUUAUAGUAUUUCUUUGCUUGAUAAAAAAAAAUAGAAUUUACCUUUUUUCAAGGUAAAUAAGUGGGGUGUCCGGGGUUCGAACUCUGACCGCUAUAUAUAACAGUGUAUGUCCCUGUCAACUGAGUUAUGCUCACGGGGACGAUGUAAGUUCUUUCUAGUCCAAAGAAUCUUUUAAAUCAAGUCCACCCUCAUUUUAAAUUCCAAGAGUCGUAUUUACAUGGUACAAUCACUAGCAAAAGAAAGCAAUGUCCAAAUUCAACUUGAUAAUCAAAGAGUACAACAAUAAUGGCCAACAAAAGAAACUGUCUAACAUGGGAAUUGUUAAUGCUGUGAAUACCAUUCACAUGCAACCAUGCAGACCAAGACCCACCACCACUCAUUUUAGUCCUUUCAAGCUCAGGCCCACCAUAGACUUUUUUUUAUAGAGGUUCACCGUAGUUCAUGAAUGAGCUGUUUCCGACAACCCAUUAUCUAUAGUCCUAUUUUUGACCAUACAUUAUUUAAAUGAGCAUAUAUAACACGCAUACCAAUUAACUCAAUUUUUUUUUUUGGUUUCAUACCAAUUAACUCAAUUAAUGAUACAUAACUUAGAGCUUUGCAUUCUUUCCUAUUGUUUUCAAUAUAUUAUUAUCCUGGUUAUCUCUAAAAGAAUAUAAAUUACUUUGAAUUAUGGGUUGUGAAUAGUUUAUAUAAGAUGCGGAAUGAAACUUUAUGCAUAACACCUAUUAUAUAUUAUAAUGGGGUCGAUUUUCCGCAUUUCCAAUACUUCCUCCGUUUCUAAAUAUAAGUAAAAUUGACUAGCUUCAUUUAAUUAAUGGUGUAUGUGAUUCAUAUUAUGGAUCACAUACAUCAUUAAUUGAAUAAAUCUAAAAAGUCAAUUUUGUUUAUAUUUAAAAACGGAGGGAGUACCACUCUAGAUGCACGGAUCUAGAAAAAAUAUCAUAUACCAACCGGACAUUGUUUAAGGAAUUUAUCAUAAAAAAAUUAUCUUAAAAAUAAAUUAUAUUUACGGAAAAAAUGCAAGUUAAAUUAUUGUCAAAGUAAUAAUUACAGUAAUUUUUUAUAAAAAAUUUCUUAUUUUUAUUACUUAAACUUGUUAGCACUCUUCCUAUAAAAGUUACAUCAAAUUUGUGUGGUAAAGAAGCUCCUCGAUCAUUUAUUAAUGCACUAUAAAUAGUGAAUGCUAUUUUUUCAAGCAUCUUUUCAUAGAAUUCCUUACAAAUUUCAACUACGUUAAUUAUUUUUUUAUCAACAUAUCUUUAAUUAUAUUAAAUAUUUUUUCUGCAAUUUGUAAUAAACAUUACUUUCUAUGACCACUAUUAUAAACAAAAAUUCCUUCUUCAGAUUAAUUUAAUAACGGAUAUAUUUUAACUGUAGUUUAUAAACUACGUACGUCAACUAUUUCAUAAAUCUGAAAAAAUAAAUAUUUGUUUAUAAUAAUGAUCACAAGCAUUAGUUAUUCAAUAAAUUAAAAAAUUAAUAUUUUUUCUUCCAACAGAGUCUUAGUAAAACCAAUACUAAUUAAUAUCAUUUUUUGAAAAGGUAGGAGUUGAUUCACAUAAUUUCCGUAACCAAAAACAAAAUUGUGUUUGUUCCAUGUGGUAGGGACCACUUUAGCACAAGAAACACACAAUUGUAAGGUUGAGUUUUGAAAUUAGGUAAGGAUAUCUAGUUUAACAAUAUCGACGUUGUCAAUGAUCUAAGUUUUUAUGAACUCGUAAAAUCACAUGUAUAAUUUUUGAUUCUGUACAUUUUUUAUUGGGCAUCAAAAUUAAACUGAAAAAUUUUAUAUUACGAAGGAAGAGCUUUUUUUUUUUUUGUCAAGUAGCUAGUGGCUAGAGCUCACACAAUAUAUAAUAUGCAAUAUUCCUACCAACUGAGUUAAGCUCUCGGGGAUAGAAAGAGCGUUAAUGCUACUAAAUUAGGAAGAAAAAGGGAUUAAUAAGAAAAUAGCAAUUAACCUGUGUGGCUUUAAUAACAGCACCAGCAGCAAGAUAAAGAGUCAUAUGACUAGUAAGAUUGAAGCUCUCCGUUAAGUACACACCAGGAGGCACAUAAAGGAGCGUGCCACCACGUCUUCUUAAGUGCUGAAUCCUAUAAAUAGCUGCUCUGAAUGCCUUUGAGUUCAGGGUUUUGCCGUCUCCGACACCGCCGAAAUCAGUUAUGGAAAUCGUGUCGGCACGGUGUCGGAACGGCACUAUGCCAGAACAUGUUGUGGAAUAUGAGGCAGAGAUAGAAGAGAAAUGGGAGAAGAAAAUAAGGAAGAGGAUGAAAGUGGAGGGGAUUGAAGAUUUUGAGAGAAGAUGCAUUUUAUUUUGUAGCUAUAGAUGCUAGGUGGAGUGAGUAGUGGUUGUUACUAGUUUUAUUUGAUGAUAAAGUGUUUAUGGAAAUAAAGCGGUGGUUCUUUUAUUUAAAAGAGAGAAAAGAAUCUGUGGCAGAUCUAGCACUGAAAACGAGAAACAAUGUGGCUAAAAAUGAAGAGAGGAUAUUUAACCAGCAUUUAUAAGAAGUUCAAAAUAAAAUUUUUAUGGGUUAAUAGGUAUUACCUUUGUAAUAUAGGUCAUUUUCGAUUUUCAUCCUUGUAAAAUAUUUUGUUUGAAUUUCAUCCUUGUAAUUUGAAGAUUUUUUGGUUUUGAACUUUCAUGGAAAAUUUCACCCCCUCUAAUUUGAGCAAAUUUUGGUUUACCCCCUUAUAAUUUGAGCAAGGUGUUGUCCACUCGAUAUGGAGAGCAAGGUGGUCGGUUGAAGGAGGGGGGCAUGACAUGUUCAGCUUGGUGGAGGGAGAUAAUUAAAAUUCAAAAUGGAGUAGGUGUGGAAGGUGGUAGUUGGUUCGAAGAAAGUAUCUCAAAACGUUUAGGCAAUGGCUUAAAUACUUUCUUUUGGUCGGAUUGUUGGUUAGGGACAGAGUCGUUCAUGGUGAGAUUUCGAAGGUUGUAUGACUUAUCGAUUCAUAAGGACCUGUCAAUGGGAGAGAUGAACAUUUUAGGUUGGGGUGAAAAUGGAGAGGCUUGGAGGUGGAGGCGACGUUUGUUAGCUUGGGAGGAGGAGUUGGUAGUGGAGAUUAGGAAUUUACUUACUAAUGUUACUUUGCAGGAUACUGAAUCAGAUGUUUGGCUUUGGCGGCCCAACAUUGGUGAUGGGUACACUGUUCGUGGUGUGUAUCAAAUGCUCAUGCGGCAGGAGAUACACAAUUAUGACGUUGUUUCGGAUGCUCCGUGGCAUAAGAGUGCUCCUUUGAAAGUCUCUAUUUGCGCGUGGCGUCUUCUCCGCAAUAGAUGGUCAACAAAGGAUAACUUGGUGCGACGAGGUGUUAUUUCUUAUGAUUCUCAAUUUUGUGUUACAGGUUGUGGACAAAAUGAAACAAUAGACCACUUAAUUAUUAAUUGUCCUAUUUUUGGUGCUCUCUGGCAACAAAUUAAAACUUGGAUUGGUGUGUUUUUUGUGGAUCCUCAUCAGGUUUUGGACCAUUAUUAUCAGUUUAUUUAUUCUUCAGGUGGUUAUGCUCCAAGAAGGUCUUUUCUUCAUUUGAUUUGGCUUUGUGGUAUUUGAGUUCUUUGGAAUGAAAGAAAUAAUAGAUUGUUUAUCAGCACAGCUAAAACAACAGAGCAACUUCUUGAGAAGGUUAAGAUUACAUCUCUCAAAUGGUUGAAAGCAAAAAAAUGUGUGCUUUCCUUUUGGUUAUCAUUUGUGGUGGCAGCGUCCCCUUGCUUGUUUAGGGAUUGACUGAUGUAUUAUUCGUUCAUGUCUUUUGUGGUUUGAUUGGAACUAUUUUGUAACCUUGUUUUGUCUCCUUUGGCACUCCUUGUGUUAGGGAACAAAACUCUUUGUUAAUAUAUCUCAUUUUGGCUUGUUUAAAAAAAAAAAAUUGAGCAAAUUUCGGUUUACCCACAUGUUAAUUUGAGCAAAUUUUGGUUUUCUUCGAUUUUGUACAGUCAAAAUUCAUAAAGGUCAAAAACCAAAAAUCUUCAAAUUACAAGGACGAAAUCCUAAAAAAAUAUUUUAGAGGGGGAAAAUCGAAAAUGACCUAUAUUACAGGGGGUAAAACAUUAUUAAUCCAUUUUAUAAUUUGGUAUAUUCAACAUAUUAAAACAUAAAAAAAAAAAAAAAAAAAAAACUUUUUCUCCAUUAAAUUAUUAAUUGUUUCUAUUUUUUGAAUCUUUAACAAGGCAGUUAGCAAGACUCAAUGAGUAAACUCUAUCAUAAUGCAUAAUAUUUUGAUGACGACAGAAGUUUGAGUUACUAUGCUCUAUGUAACAUCGACAUUUUUUAUGGUAGAUGUGUUCGGUGUUUAAGAUGCGCCGACAUUCGAUAUCUAUACGACACUGAUAUAUAUGAUUACAUUCGAUUAAUUAUUUGUUUUUUAAUUAUUACAGACGUCGACGUGUCAUAAUCGCAUGUGGCAUCCUUAUUUGUGUCGAUUCUUCCUAACAAAGGCUCCUUCCUCUAAGAACCCAAGAGUUAACUCCCAAAAAUAAAAAAAUAAAAAAAAAUAAAAAAAUAAAUAAAGGAGUUAGUCAUGACCUUUUUUUUGUUGUAAAAAGCAUGAUAUUUUCACACAAAUAAUUUAGUCAAGUGAGAGGCAGGUAGAACCAAAAUGAGCAACAAAAUUGUCUCUAAAAAAUUUGAACAUUGGAUUCUUCAUCUCGAUUCCAUGUAGUACAUCUCCUUAAAUUGAAAAUGACCUAAACCAUUUUGUUGAAGUGCUUUUGAGAUAAAUAGUAAAAAUGGUGCAACACAAUAAUUUUUCUAGAAAUCACACAUACUAGUAGUCUAGUAUUACUCCCAAAUAAUUAUGUUUUACUUUCAAUACAUCAGUCAUUAAUUAGAUUAAUUUGAUAAAAUUAAUUUUUAUUUUUAGUUAUGACUUUUUUAAGCUACUAUGACAAUCAUAAUUAAAAUUGUCUCUAAAAUGUAUUCGAAAUAUAUUUCAAAAGAGAGUUACAAAUAUUUAAAAGUGUAUUCGAAAUAAUUAAAAUUUGAGACAAAGAGAGUUACCAAUAAAAUGUAUUCGAAAUAUUUAAAAGUGUAUUACAAAUAUUUUUAGUUCUAGUAGAUGAAUCUUAGUCUCACUAUCUCAUAUUAAGUGUUGCAAACAAAUUUAUAUUUCUUGCUUUUGGUUUUCACGAUUGAUGGAGACAUGCCCUUUAUUGUAUGGAUGUCAUGUAAUUUGUUUGGUACUUUAUGUUCAGGUAGUGGCAUCUUUAUUAGGUGUUGUGGUGUUGUAACAUAUAUUAGAUGAUUCAUCACUUUAGCACAUUUUGUGCGGAGUGAAUCACUUUGCUUUUGAGCAAUAUAUCUCAUUUUGAUUUGUUAAAAAAAAAGUUUAUGUUUCUUGUUGGAUAUGACAAGGUAUCUGUUAACUUUUUGAGCCCUUCUAUAAUUCUUGAAAAUCUGCUUUUCUAUACGUUCCAAAUUUUCAUAUUAAAUGUUGUUUUCUUUACUUCUCGACAAUAAAAGCUGGCAAAUUAUUGGAAAGGAUGGCCUAUACUGGGCCUUCAUAAUCUUUACAAACAUCUGCUACAUGCUGUAGAUAAUUGAUUCAUAAUUUUUUGUUGCACAUUCUUUUAACUUAUGUAAUUUUAUUGCAAAUAAUUCAGCCAUUAUUAUUAUUAGGUAUCCUCUUAUCCGAUGAAGUAUUGAGUAUUUUAUGAUUAAUAAUCAUAGUGAUUCAUCUUUUGAUAUUGUCCAGUGUUGAAGUAUGGGAUCCAUUUCAACAUGCUAGUUUUGAGAUGGAAUGCAUUAUUUUCACACUUUUUUGUAGAUGACUGAACUCAUUUGGUGAGGCAUAAGUUAGAAGCCAUAAAUUUGAUUAAAACCCAUCAAAUGUAUUUAAACUGACAGUGCUAUGCGCUUAAACUAAAUCACAUCUUCAUUCCUAAUUUGUUUCAUAAGACAGUAAUUUCUACAUUCAAAAGUUUUCACAUACAAAAGGAACAAGAAAUUAGUUGAACACUUAUUUACACUAAACCCCUUCAAGUUAGACCUAUUCAAGGAUUAAGAUCUAUUUUUAUAGUGGAACUGUUAAUAAGUUCACAGGCUUAAGCUAUGUAACCCAACAAUCCUUGCUUCAAAAGAAAGAAAGAAAAAAACUAACAAUCCUAAGUAUUAAAGCAAGUAUUUAAUAAUUAUGAUAAAAUAAAAUUAAAAUAGCAAACUAUUUACUAUAUAUAUUAUUCAAAUAAACUAGCCAAUUACACCUAAAUAUUUUUUUGAAGAUGUUAAACUAGCUCACCCAAAUUGACAUCGGGGAGCUCUGUUGUCAAAGCGGAAAAGCGGCACGGCGUGGCCACCCCAAAAAUUGACGCGGUGCGGUAUGCGGGCGCGUAGCGGCCGCUAUUUCAUGACGCGGACACAAACUAAAAAUUAUGUUAUUAAUAAAGGACUAAUAAAAUAUGGAAAAAAAAUAUAUUUAGUAUUAGUAUAAAUGAAAAAUUAAAGAUUAUUAAUUGUUUUUAGUAUUAAAUACUAUUAUACUUAAAUACUUUUAAUGUUAAAAUACCUUAAAUAUCAAAAUGCUAUAAAAAAUACUAAUAAACAAUGUACUUCAGAAACAAAUAAUUGUAUAUACUUAUUAAUUUAAAAACUAUAUGUCAUACUAUAUUUUUCUGAUAAAGACAAAAAUAAUAUAUCAUGCCAUAAUUUAAAAACAAUAUACUAUACUAUGUAUUAUUUAUUAUUCCUUUAAAAAAAUACUAUUACUAUUAAUUUAGUAAAACAAAUUAUUAUUAUGAUUAUAAUAUAAGUGUGACUUUUUUAAAUCACAUUAGCAAUUAAUUAUUAAUAUUUAUUGAAGAAUAUUAUGAAAAACAACUCAUACUCCCCCACAGCUGUGUAAAUAUUAGUAAAACUGAAUUAAAAUAUUAGUAAAAUUGAAUUCAAAGCAGUAAAAUUGUGUGUCCCACUUUGUUAGAAGGAAAAUACAGCUGUAUUCCACCACAAAACCAAAACAAGAUCUACCGUUAGAUCUUCCUUCUCUUUCCUCUUCCUUCUCUUUUCUCUUUCUCCUUCCUCUUCCUUCUCCUUCCUCUUCCUCGCCUACAGAUCUAACCGGAAACAACCACCCAAAACUAAAACACAGUCGUUUUGUGCUCCGACCCGGAAAAGCGGGCGAUUUGACCCGCUCCCGCUCCAAGUAAAGGUGGCCGCAAAACCCGCUAUUGACCCACUUUUCCCUAACACGCGAAUCGGUAGCGCUCUGACGCGGUAGGCUGUUUUUGGCCGCUCCGCGCCGCAAUCGCGCCGGGAGCGGCCGCUAUUAACAACAGAGCCGGGGAGAAUCGAACAUGAGACCUUGACGAGGAGCACACUCCAAGGUCCCAAGCCAACCCAAGUGGAUUAUUACACCUAAAUAUUAUUUGAAUCUUAUAAAAUUUGACACUUAAAAACUAAAAUAGGCAUUGACAUAUGAGUCAAUAAAUAAGAGUAACCAAUCCUACCAAUAAUUAUAGGUAUCAUUAUUAACCAAUAAUUAUAGGUAUCUUUAAUAAGAUUGACAAUGUAGUUUAUAAAAGACUAGAGAAAUGUACAAGGCAUCUUUAUUAUGAAAAUAUAUAGGUGGAUGUACAUAGGAAUCUUCAAACCUUAAUGCACAUCUUCCAUUUACAGACAAACUUAACCAAACUAUAGAGGUGCACAACCUCUGCAAAAUAUUCAUGUAUCACCAGUUCUUCACAACAUUAACUAGGGACAUACAACACAAUGUAUGACUGCAUAACAGACAUAUACUUAAGAGACUAAUGCCUAAAUAGUUGCAAUUAGUCGAUCAAUAGUGUGCAGAAGCCAUGGCAAAUCCUACUUCAGAAAAAACAUCGGAUUCUAUCCAUUAGGAGUGGUGACGAAAGAUGAGAUGAUGAUUACAUACGAGAUAUCUGAAGUGGGAUGGUCAAGGAAGCCAUCUCUCCCAUCACCGGCUGAAACAAAUCCAGCUCUCCAUAUCGCUCCAGCACACGCAUCCUGCAAUCUUCAGCUGCCAUCAUUCCGGUGGAGAAGGCACCAUGGACAGAUCCUGGAUAGCUCAUACUUGUUGCUUCCCCUGCGAAGAACAGGUUAUCUACUGGGACUCGUAGCCUCUCGUACAGUUCAUGUGGUUUCCCUACUUGAUCAUAGCUAUAUGAUCCCAGUGAAUUUAUAUCCGAGCCCCACCGAGAUACAAGGUACUGAAUCUGCAUGGUAAAGACAAAUUACAAAUUAAAAUACGUAGGCCAUAAAUUAACUAAAUUAAAGCCUCUUAGCAUACACAGUAAAGGAUCAGCCCAACGAAACGUGAGUUCUAAAGGUAGGUAAGGUUUUCAUAGCAAACAAAUUAUAGAACAGAACUUCAUGUGUGCACUUUUUGUAGUAUCAAUAUGAAUAUGAUUCCGUAGAAUGGUGGCCUGUGUAGAUUAUAGUGAACUGAGCAGAGUGAACUAGAGGCCUACAAUAUAAACUUGUCUAAUCUUAUGUUUGGACUGAUAAUUGAAUUGAGUAUUGAAACAUUAAUUUUUCUUGCACGAUUAAAAAGCGAAAUAAGUAAAAAUAGAGUGGUUACCGGUGAGGAAGCAUCAGGAAGGAUCUUCUUGAGCUGUACAAAAGCAAAGUCAGCAGCUGCUUCAUCAGACAUUUUUUCAAUGUCUUUGGCAAGCCGCCCAGAAGGCAUGUAAACAAGGACAGGGUGACGUGCAGCCUUGUGGAGAUUAAGGAAGUAGCUACAUCCAUAAGAUGUAUCUGCAACUACUCCUAAGAACUCUACAUUAGGCCAAAAUACAUUCUCAAAAUGUAGAAUAAUUUUGUUCUCAAGUCCAACCCCAAGUUCAGCGAUGGCAGCUUCCUUCCAGUCUGGGAGCUUUGGUUCAAAUGAUAUCCUCUUUGCUUUAAGUACACCAAGAGGGACAGCAACAAUAGCCGCAUCAGCAAUAAAUGUUUUACCACUUUCCACGGUCACUUUUACUCCAUUAUAUCUCCGAACAACUUUUGUGACCCUGAAAAGAGGUUAGUUUAAUUAAGCAACAUAACAGGACAUACAAUAUCAAAACAACAAUUCAAAUUUCAAACUAUAUCUACCUGUGUCCUAGACGAAUAUCAAGACCCUUGGCUAGGGUAUUUAUAACAGGCAAGUAGCCCCUGACCAUAAGACCGUGACCACCAGGGAGAAGUACUUCCUGUCAAAAAAUAUUCAGAGGUAUAAGAUCAGAAAGCAAAAUACACUCAAAGAAAAAAUGCUUGUAUUAAUUAAAAAAAUUCUUGCACUAUGCUGUAAUAAGGGUAAAACUAGGUCAACUUAGUUUUAAUAUGUAGUAUUUUCUAAUGCUCAUGGCAGGUCUACGGAAAGGGAAGAACUGUUUUCACUAAACUGAAAACCCUACAGCCAUAAUACUGAUUUCACAGUCAUGCAACAAAAUGACCUGUCAUAAAAGGAUUCUUUUACACCCCUCCCAGCUGGAUUUGUUUGAUUCUACAUGAUGAAAUUUACCCAGGUUUCACUUACUCGUUUCUCGAGAGUUUUACAUGCAUAACAACACAAUGGUCCAAUUUUAUCCCCUAACCUGGUCUCUCUAUGUUUCAACGAGAUGCAUACUCCUAUUUAUAGAUCAGUAAACACAUUUACAUGAUUAUCGGUCAUAGAAAGGCUGCAUGUUGAAGACUCAUGCACCUGGCUAUGAGACGACUUUACAAAUUAUAUCUUUCACUACAGGAGCUACCUGUAUGUAACAUCAAAGAGAGUAAAUCAUUUAGUUUGUAAAUUAAGGACUAGAAGGCGGGGCAGGGGGAACUUAACAGCUAACACAAGAGUAACAUCUUCAAGUUGAUUUCUUUAAAUUACCUGGUCCCAACCAUUCAGUGAAAUUGUAUCAGAAUCAGCAGCAAACCAGCCCUCCAUUCUGCAUAAAUACCACUGAAGUACCUUAUGGGCAAGCCCCUCCAACCUGCAGUCAAGGGUGGAAAUCAUAUUACUUUACUACCGCUUAAAGAAAACAAUCACGGUCUCAGUGAAAUUUAAUUAUAUGCCAAUAAUAACCUUAAUUCUGGAUUCCUUUCAAAAACAAUUGAAAGACCACGAUGUAUGGACAUGUCUUCAUUGAAUUCACUUCUUACUUUAUUCGUCUGCAAUUAACCAAGGACAAAAUUUCACAAUGACAAUAAGUAGAAUCAAACAUUAGAAGAGAUGAUUUGAAAAAAACUAUUUUUACUGUGGAAAUGCAUAGCAGGUUAACCAAAUAACCUUUUUUUAUUACCAAACCAAAAAUGGAGUGCAAAGGCAUCACUAUAAGGUAGAGGAAUCCAACUAUGUUGGCACCCCAAAACCUAACAAUCAUUUGUAGUAAACCAAAUAACAAGACUAAAAAAGAAAAUGACUUACCUCCAGUAAAAUAGUUUCGAAUACUUCACCAACUUUUGUUACCAAUUCCUGGGGAACUUGAUUCCCAUCCAUAUCAUAAAGUGCAUAGCUGGAAUAAGGUAAUGAAUUUCAAUUUAAAAAGAACUAACAUAUACCUUCUACAUUGUAUAAAACUAGAAAAAGGAAGAAAAAAUUUAAAUUUUUAGUUGGUCGCAAAAAACAAUUAAAACGGUUAUCUAUUCUGAAAGUGUCGCAGAAUUUGCAAUCUAAUAUAUAACUUAAGUACAUACCUUUCCAAAUCAUGGUCAUAUAGCACAGAAUUAUCCCCACUGGUACGGUAAAGGGGUAACCCCAGCCUCCCGAUCACGGAAGCAAGUGGAUUCUCCUUGCAAACUCCAUGCAACCUUAAACAGUAAAAGAGUGUGCCUUUUAAUAAGAAAAAAAAUGGAGAAAAAAAAUUGCACAUUCUCAUCAACAUUCAAAUACAUCAUCAGAACAUAAAGAGAAUAAGCUUUACCAUGAUGCUCCCAGGUCAACAGGAAAGCCAAACGAGUAAUCAGUGUGAAUUCGGCCACCAAGUCUUUCCCUAGACUCUAAGAGAACAACCUGACCAAAAAAUUAAAAAACAAAGCACUAUUUAGUCCUUUGACUCUGAAAAUGCAUAUUAAUUGACUACAGGUUACAAAAAUGCUGCUCCAAGUUUCUAAUUAUAUUUCCACUUCAUCAUUGAGGCAAUCAGGUAAAAAGAAAU
rnacentral:lncRNA from 1 species